UUUUUUUUUUUUUUUUGAGUUUUGAGAUUUUUUUUUGGUGUAAAAAAGUAGUAAUCCAAAGAAGGCCGGCCUUAAAGUUCCAGACAAAUCACUAAUCAAGAUGCAAAUUUUUGAGCUCUGGAAAUACCACGUGAUCACUAUGUUGUUGAUGGUUUAAUACAAUAAAUAAAUUAUUGUGGUGUUUCUUGUGCUUUCAAAAGGGUGCUCGAUUGCUUAUCUUCUCUUCUGUAAAAUAAUGCGCUUUCGUCCAAUCUGGAGUUUGAAUAUUUUACAAUAUCUUCGCAACUCGGGUGCUUGAUUGAUAUUGCUUAUCUUCUGUUAAAUAAUAAUGUGCAUCCGUCCGUUCUGGUGUUCUAUUAUUUUUCAAUAUCUUCACCACUGGUAACAACUCAUGAAGAAAAGACAUCAACACUGAAUUUUUGAACGGAAAUACUUCUCUUAUAAUCGAAAUUUGGAGCCUUUUUCCGCCGAAAAGACAUCAACAAUCAAUUUUUAAUGGGAGAACUUUUCCUUUCUCACACUAAAAGAAAUUUGGAGCCGUUCAUACCAAAAUAAAGGCAACUAUUGGGUGAUCAAAUCAUGAAUUUUAUGAAACAACAAUUAAAAAGAAUACCUAGUUGGUGCUGGGGGUGAGAAACCGACGGUCCAAAUUCGGGGCUCAGAAAAUGCUAAGCUGUAAGAAGGGGCCAACCCAACUUGGUUUUGUUGCUAUCAUGGGAGGUAAGCAGGAAGUGAACAGUGAUGGUGACUGCAGCGGCAAUCGGAUGUUCUUGGGCCGUGAUAAUUUUUUUUAAGAGCAACUCCAUUCUCUAAUUGGUUUACUCCUGAUAUCCUGUCCUGUCGAUUUUUGGCUUCUUGAAUAAUGACUCAUUUUGUAUUGUAUGAAGAUUCAGGAGCAUGGUUUCCAUCAAAAUUUGACAUUAGGCACGAACAAUGAGUUCCAUUUCAAUGAGGGAGGAAAAAAAAAAAAAAGAGUCGUAAUAGAAUGUUUAGAGAAAAUUUACGGUAUGUCUUAAUUUUUAUUUUUUUUUGGAGCAAAUGUGGUUUCUUAUUGAUGAUAACCAAUGGAGAUUACAGUCAUCAAGGGAAAUUCCAGAUUUUGUUUUGGCCAUCACGGGAUUUUCUCUGUUUUGUAUGAUCAUGAGUUGAUUGAAUUUACCCAAGCUUAAAAUUGGGAGGGGCCAUGGCACCUAAAACAAGUUUAAUGAAUUGAUCUCAGUCAUGGAAAGAAAAAAGGACAACUCGAGAGCAUACUCCUGUCUAUACCAAGAUGCCUGACGGUGACGGGCUAUCGUUUAGCUUAAUGCUCUUAUCCUUAUCUAUUCUAAUCUGAUGUUGACUCUAAACAAUAAUUAACUCUCACGGUCCAAAGAAAGCAAUGGUCCUUCCAUAGAACUCUUUUCUCCCUUCUCUCCCUUUCAUCCCUCUCGUGGGGGAGAGACCAAAUCUGGUCUUUCCCUAUAGGAGGAAGUACUCUUUUAUAAUUUUUAGUUUUUUUUUUAUUUGAAUAAAUUCUCUCAUAAGAUUUCUUAACGAGUGAUUCGUCUCUCCUAGGAUCUCCUAGUGAGAGCUUUUUCUCUUCUAAAUUAUUCUAGUGAGAGUUUUAUUUUUUUCUAGAUUUUUCCUUGUGAGAGUUUUUUAGGUUUUUAUGUUUGUGAAAUUUGAGAUUUUGUGGAUUUAGAAUCUAGUUUCUCAAAUUUGUAAUUUUUUCAUUAUUAUCAAAUCAAAAUCUUUUUGGGCUCGAACCAGUUUUACUCAGAUCUGAUUGUCAGCAUAUAUGUUACGGGGAUUCAUCCGGAUGGAAGAUACAUAAGAGCAUCAAUAUUAUCUUUAUUUGUAUUAUUUUUUUAGAUCUGUUAUAUCUAUUAAUUUCAUAUCUAUAUGUAUCUGUGUCAUGUUUGUUUGAUAUAUUUUUAGCCAUUAAUGCAGAUUUGUUUGAAUGAAAUGACCUUUUCUAUAUAUAUAUAUAUAUAUAAAAUUCUCACGGUCCAAGAUCAGAAUGCACAGCAACUAGAACAUUUAAAACGAGGUGAUAAUUGUCCGGACAAUUGAGUAAUGAUUCAGAAAAGAAGAUAAAAGUAUAGCAUCCCCACUUAACUGAGAUAACUAUGUUGUCUAUCAACUUAAUUUUCCCCUUUGUCCAUGACAUGGGGGGCAUAAAUUAGAGGGUCAAUUAACUUGGUUUCGCACCCCCUGCGUGAUGCAUCGAGUUACGAGUUUAAGACCUCCCCUACACACAUUUUUUGCUAGGGGGUACCUAAACACGCACAGUUCAUCUGCCCAACAACAUAUAUAGCUACCGGAAAAUGCAUGAGCACGUUCGCACGUUAUUAAUCAAGGUCAGACCUUCAAUUUCUUAAUAAAUAAUCUGUCACGUCGCAUGUUAAAAAAAAAAUAAAAAUUGUAGUAUGGUUUCUUCAUGAUGAUCACUUUGCUUGCUCGUACAUGGAAAUUGCGAUCAAUGGCAAGAUGAUGCCUAACUGCAUAACAGCUGCCCUACCCAAGAAUUACCCCGCUGUUCAUAUAAGAGUGGUUUUAGAUCAAAGCCUGAAUUGUCUGGAUGAAAGUUUCAGAAGGAUAAAAUUUGACAUAAGAUGCGGGAUCACGUUCAUAUAAUCAAGGAGAUAAGUAUUGUGAAUAGUAGUCACGCUGGACAAAAAAAAACAGUUCAGUCACAAAGGCAGAUGAUGAUGAUUGAUUGACUGUACUCCGAAAAUGCUGCAGUUGGGUGACAUGUAGAACAUUCUGGGUUGAUGUUGCAUGAUAUUUUUCACGUGAGAUGUUCAUAUUUUGUACUUGAAGCUGAAGGUUCUGAUUAGUUUUAUAACAUGGAUGCACAUUUCAAUUAUUAUCAACUUACACGUAUCGUUUCCUGCCUCGGUCACCAAAAAAGAUAGGAGAAACAAGUAGAACGUUUCACAAGUUGCCGUGCAUGGUUGCAGAGUGUUCGAUUCACUGUAACAGUGAAUUAUCCUGAUGCAAAUGGACCAAUCUUUACAUGCAGACUGUUGAUGAUUAAUUGCUCGGAAAUACCUACUCAGCAACGAGGAACAUAAAGAAUAGCUGGACUUGUACAGUUUGGCGGUGCAGGUCUAGACUCCAGAGUCUAGAGGUGGCAAUGACAAAAAAGCCCCCCCAGAUUUUUCAUUUUUUGCGUGUGUAAUGUUCACCAGAUAAAAUUUGUCUACAACACAUUAAUUAUUGUUAGAAAUUCGUAGGCUUGAACGGUGAAAAGGAUUUUAUGUCAUUACAAAUCAUUUGUUAAGGUAAUUAGUGGUAAACCAAGGUAUGUGUACUUUUAUAGCCCUCAAUAAUAUAUACUUUUUUAAAAUCAGCCCUGCACCAUUAUUCAUUGAAAAUCACUUAAGUUGAAUUAAAAGAUGUUUUGUUCGAGAGCAUGUAGAAAAUUUAUUUUUAGAAAUGUCAGACGGAGACAUCACCUUUCAGCCUCCACCUGUCUUUGGUAUUUGAUAUUUUCCCUUUCCUCGCAUUAUGAGUGUGUGCAUGCAUCAGAAAGAAUUGGUGGGCAAUUUAUGAAAAUGCAUUACAAGAACUAUUCUCCAUGAAAAGCUAGAUUGAUAAUCGGUAAUCGAGAGAUUGAAGAAUCGUCUAGACUUGGAUGAUAGGCAGCAUAUGAGAAAAUGUCGACAGGUAACUUGUGAGCAGGUUUGGUUAAAUCUCAAUUCAAAUUCGAUCAAUAUAAAGCGUGAAUUGACUUGGUGAGCGGGAUUAAUCGAGUCGAGUUUAUAGAUAGUCUGAUAGUUAACUCAUUAAACUAGUUUGAAUUUAUAUAUUUGUAAUAAUAAAAUUACAUAUAUUCCUCUAUAUUUUUAUUAGUUAAUUAGGGUGAAAUGUCAAUUUUAUCCAUUUUAAAAAUCACAAAAAUUUUCCUUUCCCAUCCGCCAUAUAAAUUUUUUCUGAACACAACCAUUUCACAUCUAACUCUUUUGUUUCCUACUAUAUGCAAAUUACCAUACAUUUUUUUUUAAAUUACCUUAUUGCUUUAAGUUGACCUAUUCUUAGAGGAAAAUACAAUAAAACGAUCAUAUACAAUAGUUGGAGACGUACGCUUUAACAUGGUUCUCUUCAUCUCUUAACAACAAUAACAUGAAAUUCUCUGUAUAACGGGGGGAACAAGCUGCUAACACCCACACCGCGUGCCGUGUAUGUACAAUCGUACACUAGUGAUAUUUGAACUUCCGUUUGGAUUAGUCAUUUUUCCAAAAAAAAAAAAUUCAAAUACAAUGUUACAAUAAUAUACAAUAACUCAAAAAAAUCUCAUUCAUACAAUAUGUCAAAUAUUUUUAAAAAAUUUUAUAGUAAAAAACUUUCAUAUACAUUACUACAGUAACAUUUUUGCAAAAACACCCCAAAACAGCUAAUCCAAAUGGAGCCGUAGUUAUCUGAAUAUUAAACUGUAGUUCUCAUACAAAUAAUGAUCGAUUUUUGUUUUAUUCAAUUUAACUCACUCCCGAACCAAAUAAAUGAUCAAGCAACUGUUUCUCUCUUGCAUUAUUAGGUGGCGUUUGGUUCGCACAUUGGAAUCGGAUUCAGAUUCGGAAUCGGAUAUCUUGGGUUUGGAAUGAAGUCAUUCAUUCCAAUACAUUUGUUUGGUUCAAGUACUUGGAAUGUGUAUCAUUAUUAUAAUUGAUGUUUGGUUUGUCGACUCUUUCGAAAUAGAAUAUAAUAAAUAUAUUAUAAAUCACAUCGUAAAUGAUAGUUAUUGGCUCUUUGUAAAUGGGAUAUAAGAAAUUUUCACUAAUUAAAUAUAUUAGUAUAAAUGUAUUAGUAAAUUUAGUCUAACUGGAUAAAAAUUUCUAUUAGUAAACAUGUAUAAUUAUUAGUAUAAUUGAUAAUAUUAAUUAUAUUACAUAAAUUAAUAUACAUUAUAUAAUACAUAUAACUAAUAAUAUUGUUAUUAUAAGUUUGUAACUAAUUAAAUUAAAUAUUAUAUAUAUAAUUAAAUAUAAAUAUACAAAUGUUAUAAUAUAAAUAUAUAAUUAUUAUUAUAUAAUAUAUACAAAUAUUAAUUAUAUAAAUAUUUUAUAUAAAUAUAAUAUAUAUUACAUAUUAAAUAUAGUUAUUAUAUAUUAUUAUAUUUAAAAUAAUAAUAAUAAUAAUUAUUAUAUAACUUAUUAAUAUUACAUACAUGUAUAUAUUAUAAUUAUAUGCACUAUAAUAUACAUUUAUAAAUAUACAUAUAUAUUAUAAAUAUAUUAUUAUAUAAUAUUAAUAAAUUUAUAAUAUAUAUUAUAUAUUAUAUAAGUAUAAUUAUAUUUAACUAAAUAAUUAUAUAAUAUAAUAAUAUCAUUAUUAUAAUUUUGUAACUAAUUAAAUUAAAUAUUAUUUAUAUAAUUAAUUAUAAUUAUACGAAUGUUAUAAUAUAAAUAUAUAAUUAUAAUUAUAUAAUAUAUUAAUAUUAAUUGUACUAAUAUUUUAUAUAAAUAUAAUGCAUAUUAAUUAGAUAUAGUUAUUAUUAUAUAUUAUUAUAUUUAAAAUAAUAAAUAUAAUUAUAAUUAUAAUUAUAUAAUUUAUUAAUAUCAUAUACAUGUAUUUAUUAUAAUUAUAUGCACAUAUAAUAUACAUUUAUAAAUAUACAUAUAUAUUAUUAUAUAAUAUUAAGAAAUUUAUAAUAUACAUUAUAUAAAUAUAAUUAUAUUUAACUAAAUAAUUAUAAUAUAUAUAUAUUUAUAUAAUAUACUAAUAUUAUAAUAAAAUAUAUAAUUAUUAUAAAAUUUUAUAAUUAUAAUAUAUUAUAUAUAUGUAUAUAUUAUAAUAUAAAUAUUAAUAUUAAUUAUACUAAAUAUUAUGUAAUUAUAAGAUUUUGGAAUCACACUUGGGUUUUGGACAAAACCCACCCUUUUACUAAGGAAUGGAGGGAUGCCAAAUUUUUAGAAAUCAUUCCAAAAUUUCAAUUCUCAUACCAGUGAACCAAACACCAAUUAUGGAGUUUAUUCCAUUCCUUCAUUCCGAUACCCUUUUACCAAACGCCCCUUUAGUGUUCCCUUAUGUCCAUCUGAUUUUGAGAUUUCGUAUUUGAUAUAAACAUUUGGAAAUUGUUUAUUUGGUUGGAAACAAAAAAAACGUGCACAAUGCAAAUAACAUUUAAAUAUUCCAAAUUAUUUUUCUGGUUGGAAAUUAAUAUUCUGCCAAGACAAGGACACUAUGGUAAUUUGACAUGUAAAAUAUCUGAGGCUCUCGAGCAUCCAUAUCGUUUUCAACAUUCAAUUGCGGGUCAUUUUCAACCGGGCCAUGUUGAAAAUUCCAUUGUUCCCACAACAAUGAAUUUUUAGUUAGCGGACCAGAUCCAUUCAUGUCCAUAUAAAUCCAACUGUAUUUCGACGGGAUGAAAAUUGGACGUUAUUAUGAUUGAGCUGUUGCUAUUCGGCUUUUGUGGGCGACGCACGGCAUUUGAUAACUGUGUAUCAAUCUUUCGAAUGGAACGACUGGAGGACAUGGAAGGUAACAACUCAAUUUUAUUUAUUUUUUAUCGCGAUGAUAAUAUUUGUAUAAUCUACUCUAAUAGAGUCUAAGGAAAGCGAGAGUCCACCGAAUAUUUCGAUUGAAAAAAAUCACAAUUAAAUAGCAAGAUGGGAGGUCAAGGAUUCAUCCCACCAAGACAUUUAUGCCAUGUCUUGGUAAAUGUAGAUAGUGAUACCAAGAGCCCAAGAGGCUAUUGGCCACAACUCAACCAUAAUAAUGUCCAAUUUUAGUUCCUGCCCCCCCUCCCCCCUCCCCCCUCCCAAAAAGAAAACAAAAAAGUCCUAUAAAAUUUAUCAUAUUUGUCAUCUUUUCUUGUUCUAAAUUAAUUGUCAUUAUUAAAAAUAUCAACUCUUCUUUUUUUUUUUUAAUAAAAUUUUAUCUUUACACUUCAUGUGAUUCAAUGCUUAUUUUUUUACAAUUAUCAAUACAUCAAAUUAAAAGCUUGCCAUCUACUAAGGAUAUAAGAAAAAAAUUUCCUACUAAUAGUAGUAUUAUACAUAAAUUGCCUGCUCUUUCAACGACGACAAAUUUUAUGAGACAGAGAUGGUAUAUAUUUUGUGGCACUGGAGUAGAACUUAUGUAAGAAUAGAACCAGACCAGCUGUGGAUAAUCUCAUUUUUCGUUACCCUCUCGAGCUUGGUUCUCGACGCUUAUAGGCUUGUGGCAUAGUUUGGUUCGUACUCGACUUGUGGUUUGAUCUCCAGAAAGUUUAGGUUUAACACUGCCUAAAGAUAUUGGAAAAAUUUGCAAGAAAACUGUUUUUGUUGUAAUUCAUGAUUACCUUUCAGUCUUUCACUUUCAACUCUUGCGGGAAAAUAAAAAGCUGCGUAGGCUCGCUCCCUCUUAUUCAAAAAAAAGAAAAGAUUUUUGGGCUUUUAAAGCUUGGGUUGCAGGCUUAAAAUAUGAUAUUCAUAUUCAGCUAUUGGGCCCUCUGGCCAAAUUCACAAUAAUUAAAUAUAAUGUAUAUUAAAUAUGUAUUAUUAUUACACAAAUUUCUUAUAUCAAAAUGCAUAUAGUUAUAAAUUCUAUACAUUAUUAUAGUUAUAAUAUAUACACUUACAUAUAAAAUUAUUCGAGGCAACGAACCAAUGAAGUUUAAACUCGACUUACAAUUAAAAUGAUGUGGGAUUAGGUUUUACACGACCCGGUUAAAUAUGAGGAGCGGUCCAAAUUUGUUGGCUCAUGCGGGCUUAUCUCCAAGCGGUCUGUUCCAAUGAGACUUUUUAUACAACUGAUGGAUAUGCAAACCAAGCCCAUACAAGUGUUUGUUAAUUAAUAAUUUGGAAAAAUCGUUCAAACCGUCCCUCAUAUUUUAUAAAAUAUUUUUUUUAUUCCUCAUUUUUAAAAAUAUAAUUUUAAGUUUCUUACAAAUUUAUAUUGAUCAAAUUUGGUCCUUACCUAGGUUUUCGACUAGUUUUUUGCCAUAAUUCACCAAAUGCCUUGCACGUGAUCAUUUUUUAGGGGCAAAUUUGUCAAAUCAAAUUUCACAUAAUUUGAUUUUUUUUGUUCCUUAAAUUUUACAAAAUGAAUUUUUGCGUCCCUCACAUUUCAAAAAAUGAAUUUUUUCAUCCCUCACAUUUUAUAAAAUUAAAAUUUUCAUCUCUAAUUAAUCAUGUGUAUGAAUAGUUUCUUUUUUUUUAAAAAAAAAAAAACUCACGUAUAUGUGUAUUUGAUUUCACCUGAAUAAUACGAAUAGCAUAUAAUAUAUGUGUAUUUGAAUUCAUCUAUAUCUACAAUCAGAUGUAGAUGAAAUCAAAUGCAUAUAUAUUAUAUGUUAUCUGUACUGUUCAGGUGAAAUCAAAUAAACAUAUAUAUGAGUUUUUAAAUAUAAGAAAAGACUGUCGCACACAUGAUCAAUGAAGGAUGAAAAAUUUUGUUUUGCAAAAUGUGAGAAAUGAAAAAAAUUAUUUUAUGAAACGUAAGAGACGAAAAAAUUCAUUUUGUGAAAUGUGAGGGAUUAUGGAUCAAAUUAUAUGAAAUGUGUUAAACAAUUUUACCCUUGAAAAAUGAUCAUAUGCAAGACAAGUGGUAGAUUUUAACAAAAAACUAAUCGAAAAUCUAAAUAGGGACCAAAAUUGACCAAUGUGAAUUUAUAAGGAACAUAAAAUUUAUUUUUAAAAAUAAUAAACGAAAAAAGUUAUUUUACCAAAUGCGAGGAACGUUUUGAGCAAUUUUUUCUAAAAUUUUUGGCCCCGUUAAAACUAGUAGAGAAGCCUACACAAGUACUACUAUUAUUCAAAUAGCAAGAUACCUACAGGCAAUUUUUAAGUAUCGGGCCUGUGCCCAAAACAUGGCGGGAAAUGUAGUAGCUCCGGUUAAUUCUUUCCCGCUAAAUUACACGUUCCCGCGAAAGCACACACGACGCAUAUAUGCGCCUUGUUUUUUUCUGCAUAUUGGAGCUCAACUCAUACCCUUCGCAGUUCACUCUAACUCAUAUUUUGCCCGCCCCCAAGCUCCGGUAGGACGACAACAUCCUCCCCGGCUUCAUUGAAUAAUAGUAAAUUGAUUAACCAAUUUGUUGAAAACUGACAGCUAAAAAAUGCCGAACCUCGCUGGCCGUAGGUUAUCUCCGGUAGACGUCAUCAAGGCUGAGUUAGGAGAUUCGAGUCCUCACAAGCGUAAAUUGAGAUCUGAUUCGGCUACUCGAGAUGGUUCGGAUUCUUCAGUUCCUUCGCCGACGCAGAGUUCUCGGGUGAAGUGGAAAUCACCUCGCCGAUGUCCAAAUGACAGUCCGAAGAUUAAUAGUCCUUCCAAAGUAACCUCUAAAAAUUUUUCUCAUUCUUUAUUUAAUUUGCUUAUUUCUCUUUCGGAUGCUGAAAUUUGUUCUCACAUGGACUCGUAGGACAAUGAAAAAUUUCCCCGUGGAAAGGUAGUGACGUCGAGCAAAUCACCCGUUAAGAAAAAGUUAUCCGAUAGUUUUCUGGAUAAACCGAUCUGGAAUCCUACAGGCAAGUUUAUAUCUCCCGGAUUUGAUUUUGCUAUUAUUAACUUUUGUUUCUGUUUCAAUUUAGUUGAUUAUCUUCCUUGGAUCUCGUCACGCCAUAUGUCUGUUAUAGUGCUAGUGGAUUGUGAUUAAACAACCUAAUUGUAUAUUAAGUGGAGGCAUCGGAUUCGUAUUUUCUUCAUUUAAUGUGGAGGAAUUCUUUUUGAUGAAAUUAAGUGUCAAUUACUCUUUUACAUAGAUGUGGAUCAAUUGAGUUCUGUGAAGGAGGCAUUGCAUGUUUCAACUUCUCCUUCUACUGUAGUGUGCCGCGAAAACGAGCGAACUAGGAUGUUGGAGUUCUGCCAAAGAUGCAUUGAGCUAGAAACCUCAGGCAGUAUGUACGUAUGUGGUUGUCCAGGGACUGGAAAGUCGCUAAUGAUGGAGAAAGUUAAAGAGGCAUUGGUUGAAUGGGCAAAAGAGGUAUGGGUUACGGUAUGUUGUGUCUGUCCAAAUUGCAUUUCUUCUUCACAGAUAAGAUCGUACAAGAUAAAAAUUGCAGCUAAACAUAGAUGUUCUCUACACUUGGCUCGUGAUAAUCAUCCCAAUCACUUGUUUACAUAGAUUUUUGCUGAUGUAUUCUCUUGCAUUAAUGGCCGUUCGAAGUUUAGAUUCUAAUUUGCCUAGAACUAGCAGCAAAAGGCAUCAUAUUGCUGAGAUACAUGAUUAAAAAUUUAUGGAAGUGUUAAGGAAUGACAUGAUCUAAACUAAUGACAGGCUUUAUUGUUGUGUUCCCUGGAUUGCCCACAAGAAUCCUAGUUGAAUGGGAUUUCCAAUGACUAUGUUAGCGGUGAUACUGUAAAUUUACUUUAUCUUCACACAUAAUUAGAUAAUUCUUGACAAAAUUUGUCAAAAUCUGGAAGGCAGUUGAUGUAUGAUUCAGAAAGAGCUCAAGUUGUUUAUUGGAAGUAAUCAUGUACCAGUCCAUUUUGUGAACAUCUUAAUUAUAGCUUUUUUACUGUAUGAAGAUGAAACUUAUGAGAGCUUUUUUGUGGCUUAAUCAGGCAGGACUUCAGCCACCAGAUAUAGUAUCCAUCAAUUGUACUUCUCUUGCAAACACUUCAGAAAUUUUUAGUAAGGUAGACUGAUACUGUUCUUGUCCUGAUAAAAAACGUAGCUUCCUAAAUUGCUUAUGCUCAAACAUUGGUAAUCUUUGCAGAUUCUUGGGAAAAGUUCACUGCAAAAUAAAUCAGGCGGUUCUAUUUCCCCUUUGAAGACUCUUCAGAACAAUUAUUCUCAGAAGCAGCAUUCAAAUGAGAUGAAAAUGACGUAAGAAAAUUUUCCAGACAUAUAAAUGUUCAACCAACUUGAUUGCUUAGUUUUGAAAUCAACUCUUUAAUUCACAUAAUAUUAUUUCUGCCAUUUAAGUUCAUCGUGAAUGUAUUUUAACUAAGUUAAUUCAUCCACAGGUUGAUAAUUGCCGAUGAGUUGGAUUAUCUGAUAACAAAAGAUAGGGCCGUGCUUCAUGAUCUUUUUUUGCUCACAACACUACCAUUUUCCAGAUGUAUCUUAAUAGGUUGAGUAUUCCUUUAUCUAUUUACGUCAAGUCUAAUUUGUGAUUGAUCCAAUUACACUUGUGCGUAAGAGAACUUGAUUUUUUUUCUCUUUCUUUGACAGGAAUUGCUAAUGCUAUUGAUCUAGCUGAUAAAUUUCUUCCUAAAUUGCAAUCACUGAACUGUGAGUACCCUUGUAAGAUAGCGCUUUAUAGAUUUGAUGUGUUUUCUGUACCGCUGUAUAUUGAGCAACAUUCAUCCACACAUCAAUUAUGAUACUUCCACUAUCAGAUAUGAUAUGAGAACUGAAAUACUUUGAUUGUUUUAGAGAUCAUGCGAACUAAUUUCUGCUAGCUGCAUUGUGUGUGACCAAUGUUUGGUGUGUUGGUCCUUUUACUCUCUGUCUAUUUGAGCACUUUGAAGUUUAUCAUGUAAUUUUCUCUUUUUUUUUUCCCAAUAGGCAAGCCUAUGGUGAUUACUUUUCGACCCUAUUCCAAGGAUGAGAUCAUUGUAAUUCUGCGACAGAGAUUAGUGGUAAUUUCUCUAAUGUCGUGAUAUUCUGAAAACAAAUAAUAGUUUUUUAAAUUCUUUUUUCUUUCCCUUUUUCUUUCUGACGAUGAGAGUUGCACUUAAGCAUUAGGCUUGCUUUCCUGUAAUUCAAAUUUCAUCUGCAUUAAUCUAAGCCCUCUAGCAAUGAAAUGUAUUUUGAUAAUAUUACCUUCUAUUGGAUCAUCUCUUUACGUCUAAAUGUAAAUAAGACUAGGAAAAGCCUGUAAUUAGUUCUCAGGGUUAUUCUUUUGUAUGUCAUUGAUCUAUUUUUGACAAAAUCAUUACUCCAAAGUUGUCUGAGUACAUCUACCACUUUCUUCGAUUUGUUAACAGGCACUUCCCUAUGUCGUCUUUCAGCCACAAGCACUGGAACUUUGUGCUAGGGUGAGUAGUUUACCACCCUGUUCUUGUAAUGUUGUAUUUUGCUCUUCUUCUCUUGCCACAACUUUGUUAAAGAUCUAUGUCAGUGCUGCAACAUUCCAACUUAACAUAGUUUUCAAUUGUAAAUCAUCUGACGGAUUUUAUUGUGCAGAGAGUUGCUGCUGCAUCUGGAGAUCUUCGGAAGGCUCUUUGGGUUUCCAGGUUGGUGAUUGGAUUCUUCAGAUUUAUUUAAGCUUAUAGGAAUUUUGUUUCCUGAUCCAGAAUUACACCCCCCUAGUUGGGAACAGGGAGUCAGUUGAAAGGCAAUACAUGUAUCAGUUGAUAAUUAAUUGUCAUGCUCGUAGCCUUCUCAUUGUUUGUUCAUGUUGUCAUGACAUGAACUCGGUUCUUUAUUUUCACAUUAAUUGAUAUUAAAAUGAAGAUCAGACAUAAUCACUUUUUAGCAAAUGCAUGGGCUAGCAACACUUUAGCAAGUGCCUAGUCUGUUUUUCUUCCCUUGUUAACAAGCAUGUUGCCUCAAAUGAUUAGUCUCCUGAAUUUGGUGAUACGAUAAAAAUCUUUGGAUCUGAACUACGUUAUGCAUUUUCAUGUAUGCAUGAUUCUGAUUGGUAUCUAAGCAAGAAUACCUAACUCAAAUCCUAGACUUUUGUGUUCCUUUAAAAGGAAAAGUAACCCUUUCAGAUUUCUUUCAAAUGUGAAAGCAAAAAAGCUUAUUUUAUUAUCUUUUGUUAUAGGAGUGCAAUUGAGAUAUUAGAAGCUGAGAUAAGAGACUCCGUCGAUUACCUGAAUAUGUCAGGAGUAGAUGAACGGUUUGGCACUACUUUGGCAAAGCAAGAUUCUACAAUUGUAAGUCAAGAUACCAUCAUUACUAUUUCAAGCUAAGAUUUAGAUAAACUGAUAUGGGAUACUCAAAUAACUAAAUGGAAAAAAAUACGUAACACCAUUAUCAGAACAUCACCCCCACAGUUUUGGAUCUCGUAGCUAACAAGUCAUAGCAAAGAGUUCUGAAGUUUGUGAUCCUACAAAUCUUUAUCUUUCAUUAUGUGGCAGUUUCAGAAUUUGUUGAGUUCCUACGUACUGUUCAGACACAAUCCCUUUCCCUUCUCAGAUUAUCCUAUUUUGACCUUUAUAUGUGCUAUUUUGAACUUCUAAAAGCAUGAAAACUUCACAUUUUGUUUUCGUUGUAGAAGGCAUUUUGUGUUAAUUUUCAAAAUUUUGUCAUUACAGGUGAGAGUUGAUCAUAUGGCUCUUGCUUUAUCAAAGGCAUAUAGAUCCCCGGUUGUAGAUACUAUACAAUCUCUUCCCCAACAUCAACAGGUAGUUUCAGGCUUUGUCUCUCUAGAACAAUUUUGCUAAUUCAUACCAUGAAAUUUGGACGUUUGAUGCAAAGAAUCUCCUUAACCUACAAUUCCCUGUUACUCAAUCUACUCCUAAGUUGCUAAACUCAGUUUUAGGUAGCCCUUGUUUAAGUUGAGAAAGUUUGCUAGCCAAUUGUUGUUGCUGACUGUUACUUCCUAUAGAUGGCUAAGCAAAGCCAUGCCAGCUAGUCUGCAUAUUUGCUUGUACGAGAGACUUUUGACCAUGGGGAUUUAAGCGGUAGCUCCUGAGAAUUGCCAGUUAGGGUGCCUCAAGUUAAGGUUCCCUAAAAUAAGAAAUUUACAGUGCAACAAAGGGAAAAGCAUAUGGCCUCAUCAAAUUGUAUAAAUGUUAAGUACUGGUUCCCUUUUGGGUCCGCAAUUCAUGGCAUAGAUAGUAUUUGUUGGUUUUAGAUUCUCAGGACGCUAGACAAGAAAGCUUAAUCUUCCCCCUCCAUUUGUCUUAUUUUUCUUCUUUUUCAUAUCAGCUCCUUUUGCUAAUGCGGACUUUCUGCAAAGCUUUAUGUUUCCCCCUCUUUUUGUCUUAUUUUUCUUCUUUUUCAUACCAUCUGCUGUGCUAUUAUGGACUUUCAGCUGGGCAGUAUUUACUAACGAUUGGCCUUCUUCAUUGGUUGCAUAGAAUUCAUUAGAUCUAAUUCUUAAUGUUGGUGACUAGUGUUAGGAUGACUCUGUUAUGUCACCAUCUGCUAGCUGUACGUAGUCUUUGCUGUUGAGAACUUAAUAGGGUGUUCUUACAACGACGUGUACUGAUUGAUCAGCCUUCCAAACUCUCUUUCUGAAUCAGGAAUGGGGAUGACAUUUUCCUUAAUAUGUUAUCUAAAAGCAAAGGUUUCUUUAGUCAUUCUGACAUAAGUUAUCUAAAAUUAUGGCUUUCUGACAAUUCAAUUUCCCGUGCUGAAGUAGUUUCUACAUCUGAUGGUCACUUUUGCACCAAGAUAUCAUAUUAUUGGCAUCUUUAAAUAGAUAUUUUCGUAUUUUCUUUUCUAGAUUAUUCUUUGCUCUGCUGUUAAACUUUACCGCGGAGGGAAGAAGCAUACUACAAUAGGCGAGGUAAAUGUGUUUGAUAUUGGGAAAUAAAUCAGCAGUAAGAUCCUUGGUAUGAUGUCUGAUUCUAAAACGUCUGUAUCGUUAUACAGUUAAAUAGAAGUUAUAACGAUGUUUGUAAAUCAACUUUAAUCCCGCCGGCCGGAAUUGUGGAACUUUCGAGCAUGUGCAGAGUGCUUGUAGACCAGGUAAUAAAUUCUAAACCAAGUGGUUUUCAAUUGUUGCUGGGCAAUCAGUUAAAGAACACGGGAAUGAUGUGAUUGGGUAAACAAAUAGAGUAACAUUGUCGGACAUGCAGGGUCUUCUUAAACUGGGACAAUCACGAGAAGAUAAAUUAAGAAGAGUGACCUUAAAUAUAGAUGAGGCAGACAUUAACUUUGCAUUGCAGGUAUGGGUAAAAUUCUUGGAAGUAAUUCCUUUACAGCCUUCAAUUCUCUGUUGAAGGAACAGAUGCCAUUUACUUACACUAUGUUUUUUGCACAGGGAGUUCGUUUCUUCCGAAAUUGUCUUCAAUACCAGUAACAGGCAGCAGCAAGGAAAACACCUGAUUCGUUUUGCCAACUUUCCCUGCAAGUUCAUUCCUUGGACCUUCCUAGAACUUGAAACUUGGAAUGAGUUUAUAAUACUCAUUCAAGGCAAAACCAUCUAAAAAGGCACUACAGGUUGCAGACGAUAUUUGGUGAAUGAAUGACUCCAGCUCUUUCCCGUGUGGACUUCAGAUGCAGUCCAGAGCUUCAGCAUUGUAAGUACUGGCUAUUCUGUCGCACCUCUUGGAUGCUAUGAUUAGAAGAAAAGAACCAGCACAGGAUUUGAUUUCAACCAAUACUUCAAAGAGUUGCUAUUGGGGAUCUCCAUGUUUCUUGUUUCGCCUUGUCCUGCAUUAACAAUUUCACAUAACAAAUACAGGAUCAUAAAGGACCAAUUUCUUGUAAGUUACUGAAAAUCACUUUGCACUAAAAGAAAGGUUGUGACAAAUAUUACCAUAUAAAUUAUUUUUUAUAUUCUUUACAAAAAUGGUGAACAGAAGUUCACCUGUUGCUAUUAUAUAUUUAAAAUUGUCUCCCGACUUAUGUCUCAUUAUGAUGCUCCUUAGGUUGGAGAAUUACUAAUUCUCAACUGGUAUACGGUUUGUUUCUUCGCCAAGUUCAUCUGCCUACUCUACUUCUCCAUUCCUGUUAAUACGGCAAUGUGCUCGCAACCGGAUAUAACAAUCAUAAAAGUGGAUCAUUUGUCUGGCACUCAUUUUGUUUGCCAAACAAAAGGCAGGCUUACUUUAGAGCCCUGGAUAUUUCUCCUAAUUCCAUCUUGCCAAGAAUCCCUUGCCUCAAAAGUUUAAAGUGUAGUAAAAUGGAACUCUAGGAAAUAGAUAGCAGAAGAGGAAAUCUGUAUUUUGGUGAUCACCAUGAAUAAAUAGAGCUCAUUCAUGUGCACGACUGUAGAUUACAGCGCUUUAAUCAAUUGUUUGUUUGCAAGUUGCAACCAACAGAAGGGAUUCAUAGACCAUAGCAAGAAAUGAUGCUAUGGGAGUACUAGAACCAUAUCUUUGAAGUACUACUAUAAUUAAUAGCAGUCGCACAGAACCAGAAGAAAUUCUAGUAACAUCACCAAAUAAAACUAUCAGCAUAACAAAAAGUUUGGCUGCAUACUUGCAUAAGAAGUUUCCAGUUACCGGUAUCUAUCCUAUAUAAAUCUCCAUAAUCGGUAUCAAUAUAUUUGACAAUGUCCUCUCUGAAAAUACUCAAAUAAAACCAUUCAGUCAAACAACCCAAACACCAGAUCAUCAUCCGACUCCUCAGCAACUCCUUCAUUGUUCUCCUCCUCGGUAGCUGAAUCAACAGCGAUGGUAGCAUCCUCAGCAGCAGCAGCAGCAGCAAACUUGCUUGGAUCCUGCGAGUUCAUGUUUAGUUGGUUAGAAGAUGAAAAAUAUAAUUGAAGAGAGAAAUUAUGUCUCUGUGCUUUUGUCCGGACCUUCAAGGAUUCCUUCACUUUGUUCAGCCUGUGGGAAGUAGUACUCAGCAGCUACUGCAGCUGACAGAACAUUCUUGUGGGCAUUGGUGAACAUGUGAGGCACUGCAGCAAGAGUUGGAUAUGAAAGAGCCACUGAAAGGGAUACUAUGUUGGAUAACCCAGCAGCAAAUUUGGAGACAAUCUCAUCCUCCGUAAGGUCAAGGACUUCAGGUUGAAACACACAUCCAUUCUCGUAGACAGGCUUGACAAUCAAGCCAUAAGAGAACGGCUUUAUUUUAUGCCUUGACAGAAGAUCAGCUUCAGAUGAGCCACCCUUUUCACCCUUCUUAACAAACUCCAAAGGAGUAAUGAUCUCCACAGUCCCCUUGCAAUAAAAAAAAUAGUUGAAAAAUGUGUUAAUGAUUCAAGUAAAUAAAAUUUGCUACUAAACUAUAAUUCAUUUGUUUUGAGCUUAAUUAGAACUAUCUUUAGAUAAGUUUCUACUCCACGCCAAAAAUAUAUAUUAAUGAGAUGGCGAGUAUUUUUAUUCUUUACCAUUAAACACGUCAGGGUAUGUAUAUAUUAAUCCAAAAAAAAAAAAGAAAAAAGUGUUGAGACAAACAGAAACGGAAAUGAGAUUUUAGAAUGAAUCAUUAUAAUUAUAUUUUGUGUUGUUUCAUUCGAUGAUGUAUAAAUUUUUAAUAUAUAAAUACAUGAUAAUAAUAUAUUAAAAUAUAUGUUAAAUAUUUUAUUUAUAUACAUUACUUUUAUUUUAAAUAUAUAAUUUAAUUAUAUAUCAAAUAAUGCAAAAAAAAGUAGAAUAUAAUCCAAAUAUACUCGAUUUCGGUCCCAGUCGCAAGCCCCUUGUUGCGUUGAUGCGAGCGAGCCAGACGGUGCAGUUGUAGGUUAGGGGUGGCCUGUACUUUGCGUGCUUUCUUGUCCGAGAAGGAAUUAACUAUUAUUAAAUGAAUUUCACUGAGAGGAUUGAUGGGGACCAAACGGUACUUUACUAGUGGGUUCAAGUGCGGUCUGGUCGUCCGGGAUGGUCGUGGCUUUGGUCUUGGUCAGGAGUAGUAAAAUACGGUUAAAGGUUGUUGUCUUCCUCUGGGGGUGGAUUUCUUUCUGUCCUUUUGUAGUUUUUUUGACUCUUGAGGUAACAAAAUGAUUUUAUCUAGUAGCUCCAAAUUCGAAUCGAGGGGAGUUCUGUACACAUAUUCACAAGAUAAUUUUUCGCUUUUUCUUUUCUCGGUAAAAAGUGCAUGUUGAAGGUAAUUUUGGGCGACCCGCAAUUUGGAGCCUGAUUUUCGGUAUAGUGCAGAUUUUAUAGUGACUUGGCCAGUUGGGAUUAUCCCCGUCACUACUCUGUGCCAAUUUUAGUACGAGUCCCAUUUAUCAUAUGAGGAUAAAAGAAAUUUGAAUUAAACCAAAUCAAUUUGAUUUAUUAAAAGAAAUUAAAGAUCGAGCAACAACUUAAAUAAACAAGAUAUUUGACAUAAUUGUAUAAGUAACACCAAAGAUCUCAGAUAGGACUUGACUCCUUUCUAAUGGAUUCUUUUUUCAUUUUUCACAGUGCACAUCAAGAUGCAUGAUACUAGUCUUGAUUUAUUAACAAGGAUUAUUAUUAGACAAAUUUAAAAUGAUCAUUUUUCCUUCUUAAUAAAUGAAAAACUUGUGUCAUGCAUUUAGAUGUGGCACAUAUAAAAUGGAGGGAGGAUCCACUAGAAAUGAGCAAAAUUCGAGUUUUUAUAGAGCAUUUGCACUUAGUUUACAUUUGAUAUGAAAACUAAUUUGGGGUGCCAAAGUGCUACUCUGAUUAAUAAUAAAAAAAUUUGACUACUUUUUCCUUAAAAGUUUAUUUUUCUUUAAAGCUUUUUUUUUUAAAUACAAGUAAAAAGUUUCAAAUCUAAAAUCUCUCAUUUUUAUGAUAUUUCCUCCCAUGAUCCACCCAAUCCAAUCCAUCUCUACCCCAACCUAUACUACUUUAGUCACAAGUCCUUGAUCGGUAAUAUUACUCACUGUAUCAUGUCCAUGCUAGCAGACUUUGGCUUUGUUAGAAUCUCACAUGCGAAGAGAUCAAACAAUGUGCCUGCACAUUUGUUGUCUAAAAUAUCGUCAUCUCUCGAAGGAAGUAGAGUUUGUUUUGUAAACUUCCCGACAACGCUGCUAUUGCGGAUGUAAGCUGAACAAAAAGUACGGUUUUCUUAAAAAAAAAAAAAACCACUAAAAUUGACCCUAUAAUUUGUUGAACGUAGAAAUGUCUACAAAAUAUAAAUGUCUUUGGGGAACUAUUUUUAAAACAAUAAUAAUGUAGUAUCAAUCAUCACUGUUUCAGAAAAUUUCACCUGUGCUCUUGAACCAUGUUUUGUCUAUCUAUCAGAUGAACACAGUUAGAGGUGGACAAUAGUAUAAUCCUUCAAAUAGCAGUGGAUAAGGAUAGUAUAAAAAGGUGGAUUGGAAAAUAUAUUUAUGAUGCAAGCGAAAUAUUAUUUGGGAUAAUUUGCUAUCCAAUUAUUUGGGAUCCAAGCGAAAUAUUUGCUAUCCAAAUAUUAUUUGGGAUAAUUUAUCAUAAUUGUGAUGUUGGUUGUCCUGCUGGUUCUGAGUUGGAGGAGGAAAUGCGAAGGAAAUCCAAAGGGGAGCAAGUUGCUGCUAAGUUUGGAGUGAUAUUUUGUUGUUUUUGCAGAAGAAGAUCAGAAAGUGACAUUGGUUUAUUGAGAAAUUGAAGCUGUAUUUUGUAAAAAUUGAUGUGUACUGCAGUUGUAAUUGACCUUUUUUUUUUUGGGUAAAAAUGUGCGAAUCAAGUCUAGAACUUGAUGUAGAUGGAAUCGAGUAGGAAUCGAAAUGUACUACGAGAAUCCCAUUUUGUGCAAGGAAAUGGAACAUGUUCUGCUAGUGAGAAACUGGUUUCAAUUCUGAAAUUGUAAUUGGUUUCCCCAAAUUUGUUGUCCCUGUUUUACAUUAAAAGGGUACUUGACUGUGUCUUUAUACCAAGUACACUUGCAUGAAUUAAUGUACAAAAGAAACUGUAAAAGAAAAGAAAACAAUAAUAUAAGAUAGAGAAAUGUAUGAAAACAUGAAAAAUGAUUGUACUGAAUUCACAUGUGUUUACUCCUUGGUAUGAAUAUGCACUUUUGUAUAGAAAGGUUGGGGCGGUUGCCAACUACUGUCUGUAGUUAAAGAUAAUUAAGAAAAUCUCUAACGUUUUUUUUUUGAAAAAAAAAAAGAGAAAAAAAAGGUAAUCGGUACAGACUUUUUUUUUUUAAUUAAAAAAAAAAAAAAUCUACAUACCUCAUUCAUUCAGUUCCUGUUCCGUGUCUUUAAUUUAAUUCUUUUUGCCUUCAAUAGGCAGCAGUAGCAUUAAAGUUAAAAAUUCCUCGACCCCAUUAGUAGUCAUACACUCGUAUUGUCAAUUACAUCAUAUGGGUCGGACUUUAAAAAAUCAGGUUCAAUUCAUUUUAUCUGUAACACUUUUAGGAUUCAAAUCAUGAGUUUCGGGUUAAUAAAUGCGAAGAUCAUAUUCAACUCAUAAAAUAUUCGGAUUUUGAACCUUAUUCGCACUUAACCCAAACUCACUUAUUACUUCUCAAUUUUCUUAAUAUAAUUACUAUAACUUUUAAGUUAUAAAACUAAUUUAACAUUCACAUGAUUACAGUAUUAAAGCUAAACAUGAACAAGUAAUAGUCCUUGAAAAGUACAUAAAUCAAGAAUUUUUCAAUAAUAUUUAUAUUUAAUUCGUUCAAAAUACAUGAAAAAUAGUAAUAAAAUAUGCGAUCAUAAACCCCUACAUCUUCAAAUAUUGGAACUUCUUCAUAGCUUUGUGAUUUGAAUUCAAACAUCUUUGAUGAUUUGCGUUUCUAGACAAAAAAAAAAAAACAACCAAUAUUAUGCUAAUACAAAAAUUUACUCAAUCAAUAAGAAAAAUUAGUUUCAAUUAUGCAUUAUCAAUAUUGGCUCUCAAAAAAGAUAAUAGAAGAGUCUUCAUAUGUAUUUUUAUAUUUUGUAAUUUGUAUAUAUUUAAUAUUUAGUAAUAUAAUAUCAAAAUAUAAAUAAUAUAUAUAGAUAAUUAAAAAAUCGGACUUAUAUCGGGUUUGAAUCUAAUGAAACUCAAACUCUUAUUUAAUUCGAGUCUAAUUUUUAGGCCCAAACUCAGAUUUUUUUCGUGAAAAAAUCGGGGUUGUCAUGCUGAAUGAGCCGAGCUCGGGCUGGCCCGGCUCCAUUGACUGUCUAUUGCUGCCAUGACUAGCUGCUGCUGCUACUACUGCUACUAAUAAGCAAGGUAAAAACCGUCUCCAAGGCUAAGACCGCCGCAGCUGUCCCAUGUCUCUGACAUUCUCCUGCAAUUUCUAAAAUUAUUCAGACUUACUGAUUCUCUGACCUAACUAUGGAAACCCUACCUCUUCAGCACCGCCCAUUUCCUUCCACCUCCGGCUCCGGUUUCCUUCGCUCCAUCCCCUCAGGUUAUAAAACCAUCUCAAUCGCAACCUCCAACACCUCACGUCUCCUGCCUGCACUCAAAUGCUCCACCAUUACUCCUUCUCCGUUAGGUAAAUUGAAAUCUCCUGUGACCCAUCAUUCCAUUUAUUCAUUCACUGCAACUUUAGUUUUUAUUAGUGCUCGUUUUCUUUUUGUGUAUGUGGAAAUGGCACGCUGCGGCGGGGUGCAGUGGACCAGUCGGCCAGGUUCAAGGAGGCGGCGAAACACGGGAAUUUGAUCCCCUUGUACAGGCCUAUAUUCUCCGAUCACCUCACCCCUGUCCUGGCAUAUCGUUGUUUGGUCAGAGAAGAUGAUAGAGAAGCUCCCAGCUUUCUAUUUGAGUCCGUUGAGCCUGGCUUGAAAGUUUCCAGCGUCGUAAGCUUCUUUUUACCAACCCAAUUAAGUACCCUUAAGCAUCCCCUGGCUAUGUAUAAUAAUCCAGCAACUUUUAAGAAUAAAUUUAAAAAAAAAGAGAGACAGACAUUAAGAGGAUGUUACGUGGUAUGCAAGUGUAGCAUUGUUGUUAAGUCGUACUACAGUCAUCAAUUUUAGUAAACAAGGAUAUCAUUCUGGACUCAGAAGCAUUUAUCAUGCAAUAAUGUUUUAAUGUCUCUGUUUUGCAAUUAUUAUCACAAGUUGAUGAAAGGAAUGAGAAGAAAGAGGUUGCUGCAAUCUGAUAUGGCUUGUAUUGCUCUGUGUCUCUUAAUGUUGGGGAAAUUGGUUAAAAAGUUUUAUUGGUGAGAAACUGUUUGAUGUGUAAUCAAUUGUUUUAGGGGCGAUUUAGUGUAAUUGGGGCUCAGCCAACAAUGGAAAUUGUUGCAAAAGAAAACAUGGUGACUGUGAUGGAUCAUCGUCGAGGACAGAGAGUGGAACAGUUUGAAGAGGAUCCAAUGAUAGUUCCUCGGAGAAUUAUGGAGAAAUGGAAGCCUCAGCGCAUUGAGGAGCUCCCUGAAGCGUUUUGUGGUAAGUGAUAUGGAUUUUUUGUUUUUCCAUGGUUUUGUUACUGAUAAAUAAUUGAAGUCUUCAGGUCAUUGAAAGAAGCUAGUUUUUGAACCACAUUGGAAGCAUGGCUUUUAGGAUAUAGAAUAUGACCUCUUUGCUGUUAAAUCUUUCCACUGUAUCAGCAAUUCCUAGCCAUAUCUUGUUUUCUUGGUUAUCUAAUUUUAAGCUUGACUCAACAUGUUCUAAGGGCACUGUCCAGUCAAUGUAUGUCACAGUAGACUGAAAUGCCUUAUUAUAUGAAAAGAUUGACUCACUGCAACUAAUUUAUGAUUAGACAUCACUGGGGUCAAUGUGUUUUUUCGUUCAGAUGGUCUUCAUUGCUCUUUGUAAUUUUUUUUUUCUGUUCUGACAUCUGAAAUGUCAAUGAAAGAUUUGUCAACAUGCUGUUGAACUUCUUUGACCAUGGGUUUUUCUUGUGGUUUGCAUCUUGAUGAAGCAAUUACAAGGUGCAAUUUUAUAUGUAUUUUUGUAGGAAAACUACAUUCACAUUCUCUUGUAAACUUCUAUUGAUGAUUUCAAAAGUGAUUUUUUCUUGAGGUUUGAUUUGACCAUUUAGUGUUUGCUGUCACUGAAUGUGGGCUUUAUCCUAUCAAAUAACCCCAUUUCUAUAAUUGACUACUUCUUUUUUAACUAGGUGGUUGGGUUGGUUAUUUUUCAUAUGAUACGGUCCGAUACGUGGAGAAGAAGAAACUUCCUUUUUCAAAUGCCCCUGUGGAUGACAGAAACCUUCCUGAUGUCCAUCUAGGCCUCUAUGAUGAUGUAAUCGUGUUUGAUCAUGUGGAGAAGGUUAGCUACCAUCCUCUCCAAUAUGUUUGGCUUUUGCUGAAGAACUAGCUUGGUGUCUUGGGGUUUCUAAUUGUUGCUUAACAUGCUCUAUACAUCUACCUCAUGACCAUGGUGAGCAUAGUUGAAAUUCUUUUUAAACACGGCCCAAUAAAGAAAGAAGUAUCUUUCACAAAAAUGAUUAUCUUUCUUAAAGUAGAUUGCAGAUCAGUAUUGCCUUAUCCUUUUGUAUAGAUUCAAAAUUUUCCCUACACAUUAGUCUUGAUGCCUAUAAAAUUCUGAAUUAAAUUUUUGCGGUAUAUAGCUUGUGGUUUCCGGUAGUAUCAUUCAAAAUGGGACUGAUUCAGUUUCUAGUUUAUCUGUUAAUUUGUUUUUUACCUUCUCAUCUCUAAAAUCUCAGAAAGCUUAUUUGAUUCACUGGGUGCGGUUGGAUGAAUUUUAUUCGGUUGAGGAGGCCUACAAUGAUGGCAUGAACCGGUUGGAGGCUUUGGUGUCUAGAGUUCAUAAUAUUAUCCCGUGAGCUACCAAACUCAAAACUUUUGUAUAAUAUUUAUGUGUUUGUUACUGUUAAAUUAUGUUAUGUAUGAUAUAAUUGUUAAAUGCAGUCCCAGGCUGGCUGCUGGUUCAAUUAACUUGUAUACUAGCCUUUUUGGUCCAUCAUUAAAGAAUUCAUCAAUGCCAAGUGAAGACUAUGAGAAAGCAGUGUUGCAGGCUAAGGAGCAUAUAUUGGCUGGGGAUAUUUUUCAGAUCGUUCUAAGUCAGCGUUUUGAGCGACGGACGUUUGCAGAUCCAUUUGAAGUUUACAGAGCAUUAAGAAUUGUCAAUCCAAGUCCCUACAUGACUUAUUUACAGGUUUGCCUGCUUUCCACUCAAACUUGAUACAUUGUGUUUAUUUUUUGACCGUUUCUUGGACGUGUCUUAUGAUCAGGCAAGAGGAUCUAUUCUGGUUGCUUCAAGCCCUGAAAUUCUCACUAGAGUUAAGAAGGUAAACUACUGCAGUCUGUCAUCAUGCAAUUCAGUUUUCUCUGUUCCGUUAAAUUAGUGGCUCAAAGUAAGCAUGAUUUUUUUAAUUAAGACCUUUUAUCCAUCUUUCUUGAGAAUUGCACUUUUGAUCUACUUUUUUACAGAAGCAGCUUAGUACACUAACCAGGUGUAUUAUCUGUUCUAUGUUGCAGAGAACUAUUACAAAUAGGCCACUAGCAGGGACUAUCAGGAGGGGAAAGACGCCCAAAGAAGACUACAUGUUAGAAACUCAACUCCUUCAUGAUGAAAAACAGUGUGCGGAACACAUUAUGUUGGUUGAUCUGGGGAGAAAUGAUGUUGGAAAGGUUUUCUCUUGGUCCUUUGAUGUUACUUUCUUCAUUUAGCAGAUAAAGGAACAUACAUCUCAUCGCAUCACCACCUUCCCCAGCCCCUUCUGUGAGUAAAAGUGCUUUCCUGGUAUUUGAAAGGGAUGUGUAGGAUUUAACCGUAUCUUAUCCUGCAGAUUAAUAUUUUUGAUUUUAUUGGAUUAUUAAAUCCUUAUGCUUCUCAACAGGAUUCUUUAGAUUUAUACUGUUAAGAAUAACAUUUCUUGUCUAUCUACAUGUAAUCUCAUGUUAGGAGUCUUUAAAUACUUUGAAUUAAAUGACUGAAACUGCAGCUCCAAUACACAUCUGCUAUCUUGUGCAAUGUCUGUGUAGGUGUCUUUUUCAUAGUAAAAUGUCGCUCAGCAUCUUGCCUUGUCAAUCAUCUUUUAUGAUGGUGGAACAACGUGAGACUUGAUAAAAGAUGUACUGUUGGCCGUCAACUUACAAUGUAUAAAGUAUUUUGUUAAUCUUGUAAUGGUGCAAUGCAUUUGAUCUUUUUGCGGAGAUUAUUUUUACCUCUUGAUAUUGUUAUGGCACUGAUUGUCUCAUCAGGAAGUUUCUGUGAUGCAGGUCUCAAAACCUGGUUCUGUGAAUGUUGAGAAGCUCAUGAACAUUGAACGCUAUUCCCAUGUCAUGCACAUCAGCUCCACAGUAAGUUAUUCUUAUGGCCAUAUGUUAAUUGUUCUCAAUGAAAGAGUGAUUUGCACAGAAAACAGAGUAUGUUUGCAAUUGGACAAAUUGUUUAGACCAGAGCUCUUUACUUGAUAUGUUUAAUGACCUUUUCUAUUUGGGUAGUAUAUUUGAUCAAAAGGUCUGUAAUCCCAAACAUUUCCGUUUCUCAUUGGUAGAAUUAUGAUUACCUUUUUUAAUCGCUAGUUUUUUUUGUUUUGUUUAGAUGCAUCUGUUAAGGUUUUCUCCUAAAAGGGUAUUGUUUUUGGUGGAAAAAUAAUUGACAUGAGUGCAUACACACAGUAAAGGCAGCGCAUAUGUUUUGCUUCGUCAUUUGUAGCCAGUGGAGGAGCUGAGAUUUGAGAUUUGCUUCAUACAUGUUUGUGAAUGUUGAACCUACUAAAUCUCCUUUGCUGGUGCUAUUUGCUUUUGCUCUAUAGGAUUCUGAAAAUGAUGGCAUGAUGGCAUCCUACUUUGCAGGUUACUGGAGAGUUACUUGAUCAUUUGACUAGCUGGGACGCUCUUCGUGCAGCACUGCCUGUCGGAACUGUUAGUGGAGCCCCAAAGGUUCUUCAUCUCCUUUCUAUUUUGUAUGCAGUCCGUCUUUUUGUUGGGUUUUGAUUCAGUUGAAGAUACCAGAGUUUUCACGUAGUCUAAACACACUAUCUAAAUAAAGAUUCUUGACUGUAUCAUUACAAUGCUCUUUAUCAUUGAAAUGUGGCAUUCUGCAUAUGAUUCCACCCUAUGAUGUGUUUUUAGAUGAUUAGUUUGGUUUUAUUUUGCACUGAAAUAGGUAAAGGCCAUGGAAUUGAUCGAUCAGCUAGAAGUCACAAGGCGUGGACCUUAUAGUGGUGGAUUUGGGGGAAUUUCUUUUUCUGGUGACAUGGAUGUUGCGCUAGCUUUGAGAACGAUUGUAUUCCCUACAGGAAUGCGUUAUGACACAAUGUAUUCGUACAAGGAUGAAUGCAGACGGAGAGAAUGGAUUGCCCAUCUUCAGUCUGGGGCAGGUAUAGUGGCUGAUAGUGAUCCUGCCGAUGAGCAGAGAGAGUGUGAAAACAAAGCUGCUGCUCUUGCUCGUGCAAUUGAUCUAGCAGAGUCAUCAUUUGUUGAGAAAUAACACAGUAAACUCCCAUGGAAGUUGUUCCCCCUCCAAUUUAAGUUUGCAUAUCUGUCAUCAGGUAGUCGAAGACGAAAGUAUGGUGUCAAAAAGCAAGAGUAGAUGUGAAACCAUACAAGUUUUCUUUGGUUGAAUUUGGUUGUCUGUUGCUUUUUAGUGUUUAGGGAAACUCUGGCUUUUCUUUGUUCUCUCUCUUUCAUUGUACUUUUGACUCUUGUAGAAAAUUUUGCUUCUCACAUACUUACUGGACAUACGAUUGUAUAUUGGAAAUAUAUCAUGUGCUACUGCAGAUUUACAGGAUCUCUAAUAAAUUUAUAUCAUAUACUGGGAAGCCCCUGAACGUACAUCGGCUUUGAUUGAUUCUAUGCUCUCUCCUUCCCCUCCUUUAGUUCCCGCAUUGUAUGGCCUGACUUCCCCAGCUUCUGCCAAACGAUGCGGUCAGCCGAAGUGAUGAUGAUUUUUAAGCCAGAUUCGUUAUAUACUUAUAGUAGCCAACCUUCCCUCGACUUUGCUUUUCUUCACUUUCUCUGACAAAGAUUGAUUGUCAGAGUGGAUGCCAAUGGUAUGAAAUAGGAGUUUGUUUAUUAUUUAGUUUUUAAAAAGGAGUCCAAAAAAAUUGGCUGCUGCAAACGGGUAGUAGACGGAAACUAAAAUAUACAAUUAAAUUUUGAAACAGACGGCAAAAGACGAAAGCGAGUAACCAACCAUAAAAGUCCCCGGGGGUUAGCUCGACCGGUUCCGUAGUCCCCUCUUUAGGGGCAGGUCCCGUGUUCGACUCUCUCCCGUUAACGUGCUGGGAUCCGUGGGGCAGGCUCUUCCAGUCUGGGGGAUUAGUCUGGUCAAAUUGACCGGGAUACCCCCAGUCAACCAAAAAAAAAAAAAAAAAAAAAAAAAGAAGAAGAAGAGGAGUAACCAACCAUAAAAGAGACGUGAACUAACGUGAACAUGUAAAGAUCACAAGAAGACGAAUAAAACGUAAAACUGAUUUUGGUAGACUUCCCCGCAACAAAAAAGUUCUUUUUCUUUUCCUUUUAUGUCCAGAAUUAAAGCUUUUUAUAUGGAUCCGCAAUAUAGAGAUAGGGUAUUAUUUGAAAUAAUUACUGUAGCACUUUUUGUGAUUUGAUGUAUGUGAGAUAAAAAGGUGAUUGGGAAUAUAAAAAGGUGGGUUGGAAAAUGUGUUUAUGAUGCAAGCGAAAUAUUAUUUGGGAUAAAUUUUGUAUCCAAACACUGUAAUCUAGAAGAACAACACUAAAUUCCACGGUUUAAAUAAUGAUAAGGUUAUCUCCAACGUGGCGAAGCUAUCCAUCUUUUCUGCUGCGAGAUUAAUUCCUUUUUGUUUUCCUUCUGUUGGGUGUGGAAUAGGUUUUGUGGUUCAUCAUGUACGUUAGCAAAAGAGGAGUCGUGAUGUUGAUGAUCCAUGAAAAUGUCAAAUUUUGGUAGCAAAAUCCCGUCUCCGUACUGUGCUCCGAUCGGUGUUCGUAUCAGAUUCCCUAAUGUAUUCGUAUGUAAAAAUGUAAAUGUUAGUAUUAAGUAUUUAUGCAAACGUUGAAUUUGAUGAUGAUCUAACCUAAUUAAAGACACCGUCGCCGCUUUCCAGUCCAAGGUGACUUUUUUAUGUUGAGAACUCAAUUGUUUUCUUCUUUACACAAGCAAAUUAAUUCCCUUCAAAAUUUGGUGUGGCUUACCUUCUUCAGAGAUCAACUAUGUCCACCACUAAAGUUUAUGUAGUGUAAGUAUUAUUCGGACCAGUGAUUUUCGUCCCCUUGAUCUAUAUAUGUUUUUGGAUUGUUGAAUAAAAGCUUUGAUUUUGCUAUAUAGAUAUUAUUCACUGUACGGGCAUGUAGACAGUAUGGCAAGAGAAAUACAGAAAGGAGCCAAUUCUGUGGAAGGAGUUGAGGCAACCCUUUGGCAGGUACUUCUCUGAUGACCCUUUUGCGAAGAUGUUAGCUUGGAUGUAAAGAUCUAAUUUUUUUAACUGAAUAGUUUUGAUGGAAAGAUGUAGGUGCCUGAGACUUUGCCGGAGAAAAUAUUGGAGAAGAUGAAGGCUCCCGCAAAAGCAGAUGAUGUGCCCGAGAUUAGGCCGGAGCAGCUUGUGGAGGCUGAUGGUUUUCUGUUUGGUUCUCCUUCUCGGUUUGGGAUGAUGGCUGCCCAAGUCAAGGCUUUCUUUGAUGCUACUCAUGAACUUUGGGCUACUCAGGCGCUUGCUGGCAGGCCUGCCGGGGUCUUCUGGAGUACUGGUUUCCAUGGUGGUGGCCAGGAGCUUACCGCGUGAGUUUUUUCUGCUUCAUUAUCUUUAUGGUUCGAUUAUUCAGAAUCUGCGUUUGCGUUUAACUGAAAAUAUUAGGGGAUUAUAUGCAUGAUUAAUGUGAUCGGAUUCGUGGGAUCUUGCUUUAGUUUACCUUGAUUAAUUUCAGGAGGUAGCUGGGAUAGAACACCUUAAUUACUACUCUGAUGGUCUAUGAGGAUGAUCAUGAAUUUGAAGAAUUGUCUAUGAUUUCGGGUCCUGUGGGAGCUUUGCUUGAUAGCUUUGGAAUUUCCUCCUCUCUAUAAAAAAAUUGACACGGUUACAAAGUCUCUGCUGGAGUCAUACAUAUUGAAAUUAUUUCCUCUGACGAUCCAGAAGCCCAACUUUCGUUUUCUGCCUGUAAAUGUUGUCAAUUCUACAUGGUUAACCCAUUUUUCAUGUGUGGAUGCGGUGUAUUGGUACAUCAACCAAGUAGUACUCCCCUCUCUAAUGGUUUAUGAUUGUAGUUUAAGUUAUCUGCCUAAGCUUCUAUUUGGAGUUCCUAGACAACUAACAAGGGAAUAGGAAGUGCUGAUAUUUGAACAGUUAGCCUCCUUUAUCAGAUGAAUGGUUCCACAAAGUGUUAUAUUUGCUUUUAUUUCCCUUUCCAGCUCCUGCCCGCACUUACCUUUCUUAGUGCUGGAUAACUUCAAGAAUCUGAAUUUGACUGAAACACUUCCAGUUCCAAGUGCUAGGCCCCCUUUUCCUUGUGUUCAAUUGCUACUUACUAAUCCUGACACCAUUUGUUUGUUGCAGAUUAACAUUCAUAACACAGUUGGCACACCACGGGAUGAUAUUUGUUCCUCUUGGGUAUACCUUUGGGAGUGGAAUGUUUGAGAUGAAUGAGGUAAAGGGUGGAUCUUCCUACGGCGCUGGAACUUAUGCAGCAGACGGAUCUCGUCAGCCUACGAAGCUGGAACUUCAGCAAGCCUUUCAUCAGGGAAAGUACGUUGCUGAAAUUACCAAAAAGCUGAAAAAAUCUUCCCCUCAAGUGUAGCGAAUAUCAAGUUGUACUAGUUUAUACCAAAAUUUGCAAGUGUUAAAAAUUACAUCAAUGACUUUGAACUGUACAAGUCACCUUAUCACGCCCGUUUCCGCAAAGAACAAUAAAAUUCUAACAAAAAGGUAAUGAUAUUUUGGUGUAAAUUUUUUUUUCAAUUUUAUUGUUAUCAACUUUCGAUGAGAUAUUUUACGAUAUUUCACACCAACAAAUGUAAAAUUUUCAAAAAAGUAUUAUAAUAUUUAUUUAAUGUUCGAUUAAGAUCGAUGAACUUUCAAAUCUCAUAUAGUAAAUUGAAACUCGAACUCAUCAAACCAUUUGAACUAUUCGAACUCAAGUUUAAACUUUCAUUGAGCAGUUCAAAACUGAAGUUUGACUUUUCACUGAAUAACUCAAUUGAGUUCGAUUUAUUUUCAUCCUUAUUAUCUAUUAGUUAAAUCGAAAUUUCUCUCUCUGGAAAAAAAAAUACAAAAAUAAUAGAAAAAAGUUAUGGGCCAAAAUCUUUCUGGUCCAUCAGAUAAUUUUGGACAAAUUAACCACAUGGGCAAAUUUUGGACAAAAAGUUGGCUUUGUCUGGAUUGCAUUUUUCUAGAUUAUUUGUAGAAAAAUUACUGUAGCGAUUUGAUAUACUCCUUUCCUUUUUUAUAACUGACGUUUAAGAAAUUUGCUCUAGUGUACUUUUAUCUAUCAUUUUAUUAUCCCCAUACAGUAUUAAUUAUUUUUUCACAAUUUUACCCUUUUAUCUCUCUUUUCCAAUACAGGGUUCUUAAUUACUACUUUUAGCCUAGUAAAAUAGCACCAUUUAGUAUUCUAGUGAGAGAAAACAUGGGUGAAUUAGACAAUUAAUGAGGGUACAAAAGGAAAGUAGUGUACAGAUUUAAUUGGUGUGCAAAACCUUAAACGUCAGUUAUAAAAAAAGGGAGGGAGUAUAUGAGGUAAAAAGGUGAUUGAGAAAUGUGUUCACGGAAAACGUAGAAAAAUUGCUGUCCAAACAAAUGAUUCCAAAAUGUUGGAGAAAAAUUUGGCUGUUCUUGUUAAGCCAAUGUUGAUUAACUUGAAACAUAAUUGGGUAUUUAAUCUGAAACGUAAUUGGGCAUUUAUAGUUUAGGGGGAGAUUUCAAGUUUUACAGCGAGAGCGCUCGAGAAUUUGAACUUAGAAACUUCAAACAUAAUUGGACAUUUAAUCCGAAGGCCAUUAAUGAUUAACCCGAAGCGUAACCGCUAAUCCUCGCAAAGUCCAGUGCUAACUGUCAACUCUUACAUUCUACAAAGCGUUGGCAGUCGGGUAGACUUUGUGCGUGUAUUUGUAUUCUGUCUUUAUCACAAUUCACAAAACUCAGCUAUAAUACUCAAUCAGUCAUCAUCUACUUCUCCCUCUGCCGUUCCAUAUAUUAAUUAAGAGAAAAAUGGAGAGCCUGUGGCGAUCGGUGACCGGCGCCAACCCGGACCCAUCUGACUAUUCCGGAGUGGAGUUCUGGUCCAACCCGGAGCGCUCCGGUUGGCUGACCAAGCAAGGCGAGUACAUCAAAACCUGGCGUCGUCGCUGGUUCGUUCUCAAACAAGGCAAGCUGCUCUGGUUCAAAGACCCUUUUGAUUCCUCCACCAGCUCCGCCAUUCCACGUGGCGUCAUCUCCACUGCCGAUUGCCUCACCGUCAAAGGCGCCGAGGACGUCCUCAACAAGCCCUUCUCUUUCGAGCUCUCCACUAGCAGGGAUACCAUGUACUUCGUGGCUGAUUCGGACAAGGAGAAAGAAGAUUGGAUCAACUCCAUCGGACGCUCAAUUGUGCAGCAUUCCAGGUCCGUUACUGAUUCUGAGGUCAUUGAUUACGAUAGCAGCAGGGCUUAAUUUCCGCCUUUCCAAUGUAAUUUUGGCUUUGCCCUUCUACUGGUAGACUGGUCCUAGGAUUUUAUUUACCAUUUGGGGGGCACUCGGCUGCAUCAUUUAUGUAUGUGAUCGUGAAGGUUGUUCGUGAAUUAGUUGAAUGGUGAUGUUAAAUUUGUGAUGUCUUUGUUUAAUCUAUUUGUAAUUAACCUUAAUGCCUUUGGUUAGCACUUUGUUAUCGUGAAUUAAAUUGUUGAGAUUGUUGUUCCAUCUCUACAAGUCAAGUUCAACAAGGAGCGGCAAUUGUAAUCUACAUCCCCAUGUUAACUACAGAAACAAACAAUUUCAACGUGUUUGAUCUUUAUUGAAGAAUCCCUAUAACAACCAAAAUUUUGUACUGCUCUUAUCUUCUUUUAGAAAUUAGAAUGGACAGUUAUUGGUCCAGGAUAAAAAAAAUUCUGAAAAUAUCAUAUUGUCAUUGCAUCUUUUAGUAAGGAUGCGUGCCGCCCCUGGUUACAGUUCCUUGCUUUUUUGAUGUUUGCCUCUGAUGGAAACUAGUCUCUGCCCAGCUUCUUUGUUUUCCAGUCUGAGUCUUGGGAAUUUCGCUGUGCAUGACACUCCAAUUCUAGUAUAGCUUAAACAUUCAGUGGGUUUGAUCACAGGAAAAUAGGCAUGCGCAGUAGCUUUUUAGGGGUUCUUGCAUCUCUUCUUUGUAAACUAAAUUCGACUCUGUUGCUAUACACAUCUUCGUGUUUUCAUAUGUCACAUGCAAAAAUACGACAGAAACUGAGUUCUGGAGUGUGUGUUUCCUUGUUGCAAUCAUUCACGAGGUCUUUGCUUUCCAUUCGAUAUGAGCUGAACCUAUAAUAAUUUGUGAAGAAAAUCUAUCAGCGAGCUGUCCUAUGGUAGAUGGGGACUAGUUUAUUCCUUCUUAACUUUUCUGGCGAAGUACGCUGCAACGAAACUAAUCAAGAGAGCUAGCGACGGGGAUGGGAUGAGCUUAACUACUAUCAACCCCGAAAACAAUAAUGCUAUAUGGAUUAAACAUGAGCUUCGACAGGGAAUAAUAGUCUCGGAGUGAAGUUAUGAAAUGCGGCCACAAAAGCUUAAAUCCCAAAAAUAAUCAUCUGCACUGAAAACUUCUGAAGACUCGUUGGGGGGUGGAAUCUUGCCUACAAGCUAGCUGAAAUGGUAUAGAACAAUUCUGCCUGACAGGCCGUUGCUGGAAAAUCUGUGUAUUCAAAACUUUUUUAAGUGAUGCAUGGACGGAAUGCCCUACAAAGAGAUCAUCCGGCAGUUAAAGUGGUUUCAAGUCAACGAUUACCAUAGGCUUGACUAUCUCAGCAAACAAAACAACUUACUGUUGUUCAAUACUGCAAGUUUUACAGUAUGUUUCAGGUUUCUAACUAACCACCAACCUUUGAGCUGGUGGCCACCACCUAGCCAUUAAGGCCACCAAAAAUGUCACAUUUAAGUGGUUUGCUUCAAAAAUUCAGCGGGUGUGCAGUGCAUCCGUCUGAUCCGGUGGUGGUUCAGUCCUCUCCGGAUUAUCCCUGGGCCUCCUUAAGUCCGCCCCCUCCCCCUUAGUGUAAGAUAGAUUAGGUUAUACAACAGUUGUCGUAUCCGAAAAAAAAAAAAAAAUCAGGUUUCCAACUCCGGUGGGGAAGGGGCCUGACUGUGAACAAACUGGAUGAUAUCUCAGGACAAAGAGUUAAGGAUGAAAGGCACAUAAUUUGCCAGGGAAAGUUGCCAUUCAAAUUAUUUUCACAAUCAAAUUCAAAGCAAAAUUACGUUUAUUGAAAUGCUCAUUCCCUCUAAAAGAUUCAGCUUUUGCAGUUGCCCUUGACCCUUAUCUUCAGAAUGCUGCUAGUUCUCCAAGCUUGAAAAAGUUAGUACGUGGUAACAACAGAAAAGAAGAAAGGCGAAAACUGAAAAAACGCAAAAAACUGGACCGGUAUUUAAGGGGGGAAAUUGCUGAUAUAAUAAACUCGGAAGGCCAAAGGUCAACUUGCUCAUAAUUACAAGGAGGUUCAUUCUAAUUACGCCCGGAGUUGAUUGAUGAUUGGUUGUUCGUUAAAAAAAAAAAAGAAAAAAAGAUUGGUUGUCCGAAAACAUUAAAACAUUAAUCAGCGAUCCCUCCAGUUCCAGAAUCUGCAAGUGAAAAGUUUAACGGAGGGGAUGAAAUUCUUCUUUACGUUGAGUUCCACUUCCAUCCAUGUAUAGCUGAAUUAGAACAGUUUGAACCCAAAUGCUUGUGGAGGACGAUUAACAUUUUAUUAGCCAUUACUAAACGAUGCGCACGGGAUAGUAAUCAUCUUAUGUCCUGUGUAGUUUGAUAGAAAGCCAGGAAAAGGGUGCCACAAGCAAAGCAAAACUCAUGGCCAUUUCAUGCACCCCUGCUAUCAACAACCUUCCACUUAACCGCCACCCAACUCCUGUUUCCAUAACUGUCAAUAACGAACGUUACUUAGCAGACCACCCUCUACUCUUACAGCUGGACCGAUGCUCCGACUCUACACAGCUCAAGCAAAUUCACGCUCGAAUGCUACGAAUCGGGCUCUUUUCCGACCCUUAUUCGGCCAGCAAGCUCAUCCAGGUCGCAGCUUUCUCGGAAGUCUCAAGCAUCCAGUAUGCCCAGAAAGUGUUUGAUCAAAUUCCCCGCCCAAAUCUUUACUCUUGGAACGCCCUCAUUCGCUCCUAUGCUUCCAGUCAAGAACCCGUUAAUGCCCUUUUGAUCUUUAUCAAAAUGCUUCAUGGGAGUGAUGAAUUGCCUAAUAAAUUUACGUUUCCUUUUCUGAUCAAAGCCUCUGCACUGCUUUCAGCUCUGUCGGUUGGAAAAGGGCUCCACGGGAUGGUGCUCAAAUCGGAGUUUGGGUCUGACUUGUUUGUUCUUAAUUCUUUGAUCCAUUUCUAUGGUGAAUGCGGGUGUUUCGAUAUGGCGUACCGGGUUUUCAUGAGCAUGCCCAAAAGGGACGUUGUUUCUUGGAAUUCAAUGAUCGUCGGGCUUGCACAAGGCGGUUAUGCUGAAGAGUCAUUGGACUUGUUCUUCAGGAUGGAGGGAGAAAAUGUGAGGCCCAAUGACGUCACCAUGAUAGGAGUCCUGUCAGCUUGCGCAAAGAAUUUAGACUUGGAGCUCGGGAGGUCAAUGCAUUUGUAUAUUAGGAGAAAUGGGAUUAAGGAGAGUUUGGUAUUAAAUAAUGCAAUUCUUGACAUGUAUGUGAAGUGUGGGAGUAUGGAGGAUGCAAAAAGAUUGUUUGACAAGAUGGGGGUUAAGGACAUUAUUUCAUGGACAACUAUGCUUGUCGGGUACACGAAGGUGGGGGAUUUUAGUGCUGCUAGUAGUCUUUUUGAUACAAUGCCUUGCCAAGAUAUUGCUGCAUGGAAUGCUCUUAUCUCGGCUUAUGAGCAGAAUGGUAAUCCUAAGGAGGCAUUGGCUACUUUCAAUGAAUUGCAGCUCAGAAAGGAGGCUAAACCUGAUGCAGUUACACUUGUUUGUGCGCUGUCAGCAUGUGCUCAGUUGGGGGCAAUCGAUUUAGGGGGCUGGAUUCAUGUAUACAUCAAUAAACAUGGUAUUAAUUUAAAUUGUCAUCUCACUACUGCAUUGAUUGACAUGUAUUCUAAGUGUGGGGAUUUGGAGAAGGCACUUGAAGUAUUUCAUUCUGUGGACAAUAGAGAUGUUUUUGUAUGGAGUGCCAUGAUUGCUGGCUUCGCAAUGCAUGGGCGUGGAAGGGAAGCAAUAGGUCUUUUCUUGAAAAUGCAAGAAGCUAAGGUCAAGCCUAAUUCUGUUACUUUUACCAACUUAUUAAGUGCUUGCAGUCACUCAGGGCUGGUGGAUUCUGGAAGGGGCAUUUUCAAUCAAAUGGAGUCAGUUUUUGGGGUUGUGCCUGGGGUCCAGCACUAUGCUUGCCUGGUUGAUAUUCUUGGUCGUGCAGGUCACUUGGAAGAAGCACUUGAUGUAAUUGACAAUAUGCCCGUUUCCGCUGGGGCAUCAGUGUGGGGGGCUCUGCUUGGUGCGUGCAGGCUUCAUGGAAACAUUGACAUAGGUGAACGGGCUUGUAGCAAUUUGCUUGAAUUAGAGCCUCAAAAUGAUGGAGCCUAUGUGCUUUUAUCUAAUAUUUAUGCUAAAUCAGGUAGAUGGGACAAAGUUUCAGAAUUAAGGAAGCUUAUGAGAAACUCUGGACUAAAGAAGGAACCCGGUUGCAGCUUAAUUGAGGUGGAUGGCAAUGUUCAUAAAUUUCUUGUUGGAGAUAAUACUCACCCUCUUUCAAAGAAUAUCUACCUGAAAUUGGAUGAGAUUGCGACUAGAUUGACAUCUGUCGGUUAUGUGCCAAUGAAAUCCCAGCUGCUGCAACUUGUUGAAGAAGAACAUGUGCAAGAGCAGGCAUUAUAUCUUCACAGCGAGAAGUUGGCUAUGGCGUUUGGACUUAUUAGUAUAAGCCCAUCCCAACCAAUUCGAAUUGUAAAGAAUCUCCGUAUCUGUGGUGACUGCCAUGCUGCUGCUAAGCUGAUAUCAAAGCUUUAUAAUAGAGAAAUAGUAUUGAGAGACUGUUACCGGUUUCAUCACUUUAAAGGAGGCUCUUGUUCAUGCAUGGAUUACUGGUAAAUUCUGGAAUGCUGGCCUGCAAAAGAUUCUUAUGCGGGACUCCUAUCAACUGGUAAAAAUGCAGAGAAAAUUUCCAGUAGGCAUGGCACCAAGAGCGACUUCACUUAUCUGGGACUUAAAACUCCAUUAGUGCAAAUUUGUCUGUGCCAUUUGACACAAGCAUAGCAGAUGAAAUGUAUGUUAAAAAUCCAAAGAUGAUCAACAUGCGAAUGAUGGAACAUGGGGCUAAUCCAGUUUACAUGCCUAAAUGUAAUUUUGGCGUUGGAAGCUCAAUUUGGAAGGAAAAGGUUGCUGAGCAUGCUUCGUCGUGGUAGUCAGGUUGUUGCAGAAACUGGUGACAAAUUAUUUGAUUUCAGAAGCCAAGUUUCUGUGAUAAUGAGUGGACAAGUGGAACUGAUGGUAUUGAAUGCAUGCUAUCAAAUGGAUUGGAGCUUGACCGACUGCUAAUGGUUGCAUCAGGAAUUUGCCAGACCCGUUUACUUUGAAAAUUGUCGGGCAUGUCCUAGUGCACGUAGUAGCGCACAAAAUAUUUGGUUGGUCAUAGACUACUGGUAUGUGGAUGACCAGAAUAUACUUGAUUGUAGUAAACACUACUCCUGCAUUACAUCUAGAUUACCAGUAUUGGUGGAUAUAUGUAUCCAGAUCUUGAAAUUUCAGGCGAAUCAUAAUACCUCUCAUGUGUUGCGUGUUGACUCUAAAAGCUAAUACUCCUAUCAUAUAAUCAUUCUUUUCUGUAAGGAUUGGUACUUGGCAGUCAGAACAGUUCAUUCUUCCAAGUUACCAAAUAAGCAAAAUAUUAAUAAACAAUACAGGAGGACACAAAGAUACGGGCAUGCAGCUGCAAUAGUUAUACAACUCUCUUCGGUCAAAUCGUUGCCAACAUGCUACAAAGUCUACAACUUGGCAAACUCGCAUACAAUUCAGGCUGCUGGUAGCGGAGUCUAUAUAUAAGCCGACAGAUUAUUUGAUCAGAAUGCACUUUGAUUGCGUUUUUAAUGGAGGGUUUUCAAGUGCAUUUCAAUUCGUUUUACUGUAAAGUAGUACACGAUGCGUUCAAUUGAAGACCUGAAAAUACAUGCAAGACGGGAUAGUACGGACAUCCAAUUACAGUGAAAGUGCGCUGUAGUCAGUUCUUUUAUUUCUAAACUAAAGGCGAAUUAAGAAACUACUUGCUAAGAGAGCCGGAAAAAGGAGAUAGAAGGAGCUCCUCCCAUAUUAUGGGACUGUUACUAGUGAAUCAGCUCGGUGGAAGCUAGUGAAUCUACUAGAAUAUUCACCCGUCCAUCUGAUUUUUGCAUUUCCCUCCUACGUGCACUUUUUCCACUGAAUUUUUCUCUGACCGAAACCAGAUCAUUGACAACUUGACUCAUGUUCAUUCUGUCUUGAGGAGCCUCCUCUGAGCAUGCAACGCCAAUUUUAAAAACUGAAACCAAUAUAUCACUGAGCUCAACUCUGCUGCCAUGAGUUUCAUAUCCAACUGCUUCCACCAAAUCUCCAGGAUCUUCAUCGAGCAGAGCAGAUUGGUCUACAAUUUCCAUUACACUAUCUGGCAAUCCCUUUUUGACCAAGCUAUGGAGAUUUAGGUACCCUGUAAAGAGUGCAUCCGUGGGCCGCCUACCUGUGAAAAUCUCCAGCAGUAGAAUCCCAAAGCUGUAGACGUCUCCUUGAGUAGACACACGACCACCCAUGCCAUACUCUGCAAAAUUUAUUGACCCCUUUCUUAUUCUUAUCUAACAUUAACUUGAAGCCAAUAUAAAAUUCAACAAUAUUAUCCAAGAUUUACAAGAAUCUCAAAUUCUAAGAUCAGUAGAAAAAUUUACCUGGAGCAGCAUAACCUAUGGUGCCCUUGAUCCCUAGUGAACUAAAUUGAUUCAGAUCAGCAUCUUCCCUGGAGUUGGAAAUUAGAAGCCUUGCCAAACCAAAAUCGCUUACAUGAGCAGUCAAAUCAUUGUCAAGCAGAACAUUGCUCGGUUUAAGAUCACAGUGCACCAAAGAUGUUUGGCACUGGUUAUGUAGAUAAUGCAAUGCAGAAGCUACGUCUAUAGCUAUGUUCAUCCGUUGGAAGAUGCUAAGACCUUUCUGCUGCAUCUGUUCACCAUCUUGAUGCAGCCAUUUCUCCAGACUUCCAUUUGGCAUGUAUUCAUAUACUAGUGCUUUAAAGUCAUUGCCAUUGAAGUCUACGCUUGAGCAAGCAGUAAGAAUCUUCACAAGGUUCCUAUGCCUUAUGUUCCGCAUGGCUUGACACUCGGACAAAAAGCUCUUGAAAGCUCCCUUCUUUUGAAGCUUGAUGACUUUGAUAGCAACUAUUUUUGCAUCUGGACCAAGACAUCCUUUGUACACAGUUCCAAAAUUACCUGAUCCUAUCAAAUUGUGUGAUGAGAACCCUUCAGUUGCAUUUAGCAAGUCAUUGUAAGAAACCUUCUUGUAUAUUUGGUCGCUCAAAGACGCUGAAGUAGGUUUCUUUUUCACCUUUCUCAUCCAACAAAGCAAAAGUAAAAGCAACAGCAGGGCUAAACAUGAAGAAACAACAACAAUCAGUAUCACCUUUAUCGCAGUUUUCUUCUUUGAUCCUCUGGGUGAUUGCCUUGGACAUGGCUGCAAAUGCAGCCCCUCGAUGCCUCCACAAAGUUUUGCAUUGCCCCGCACUUGAACAGAACUAGCAUCUGCAAAGACGCCUUCAACCGGUAUCUUACCCUCAAGAUGGUUGAAUGAGAGAUUCAAAUAACGUAAAGUUGAGAGCUCGGCCAUGCUUUGCGGAAUGUGCCCUGACAAGUUGUUACUAGAAAUAUCUAAAUACUGAAUGUUUUUCAGACUAGUCAGGGAUGGAAUUUCUCCUUCUAAGUCAUUGCUUUGCAUAUAGAGUGAUUCCAGGGACAAGCAAUUUGCCAGGGUGCUUGGAAUUCUCCCAGAGAGUUUGUUGUUCGAAAGAUCAAGCACUGCAAGAUUUGUCAAGUUCCCAACCUCCUCGGGCAACGGACCACUGAAGAAGUUUUGAGACAUAUCAAGGACAAGCGAAAGGGAUGAAAGGCGCAUGAUUUCUUUUGGUAUGGAACCAGUGAGGUUGUUCUUUGAAAGUUCUAGUCUCUGGAGGAACCUACAGUUACCGAGACUAGCAGGAAUACUUCCUUCCAAGUUGUUAUCUUGAAGGUAAAUAUACAAGAGGCCUGUGAUGUUUCCCAAGGAAGAGGGCACGACUCCUGUCAAUCGAUUUGAUUCAAAAUGAAGGGUUUUCAAGUUCGAAAGCUUUCCUAUGGAUUCUGGAAUGCUACCACUUAUCAGAGUUUCUUUUAUGCUGAGAACAUUCAAGUUGAAAAGUUCAGAAAUAUCUUUAGGUAUGGUUCCAUGGAUCAUGUUUUGUCCAACAAGUAACCGUGUGAGCGAGGUUGAUAGAUUAGUUAUAGAAUCAGGUAACUUACCUCCAAAAUGGUUCUGAGCAAUAUCAAGAAACUCAAGAUUUUGGCAAUUGCUGAGAGAACUAAUAAAAUUCAAAUCACCAGAGGCCCCACUUCCCAGCUGGUUGGUAAGGACAUUAAGCCAGAAUAGGUUUCGAAGGUUCCCAAAACUCAGUGGUACAUUUCCAGUGAAAUAGUUCUCAGGAAAGUCUAGCUGUAGAAGCUCUGAACAAUUUGACAGUGAAGCUGGAAUAAGUCCAGUAAAAGAAUUGUUUGCCAAAUACAGUCUUUGGAGUUUGGGAAAGAAAAGGCCUAUGUCAGGUCUAAGACUACCUCUAAAUUUGUUAAAUGACAAACCUAUGAGCUGAAGAGAUGAUAAGUUAAAAAGAACAGGAGGAAAUUCUCCAGAAAGAGAAUUCCAUGACAUACCAAGGGACACCAAGCUUCUGAGUUGAGCCAUUGUAUCUGGAAAUCCUCCCUCCAGAUCAUUGUAUGAGAUAUAAAGCUCUUGAAGGGAUGUAAGAUUCCCAAUGGAAGCUGGGAUAGUUCCUGUGAGGUUGUUGUUCUUAAGAUAGAGCAUGACCAGCUUUGUCAGUGAACCAAGUUGAGGAGGAAUGUGUCGUUCAAGAAAAUUGUGGUCUAGAAUAAGAUAAGUGAGGCUUUGACAAUGAGAAAGAUUGGCUGGAAUUUCACCUUUUAAGAGAUUAUAACUUAAGUUUAGAGUCUGAAGCCUGAAUAGAUGUCCCACUUCUGAGGGAAUCACACCAUGGAAGGAGUUGUCUGAUAGGUCAAGCACGCGAAGAAAUGAAAGACUUCCAACAUGAGGAGAUACAGAACCAGCCAAUCUCCGUCCUCUUAGAUCCAAACUGCUGACCCUCUGGUGUUUGAGCCCACAUUCCACCCCAGUCCACUGGCAAAAAUGGAGAGUUGCAUUCCAAGAGUCUAAGACACCAUCAAGAUCCUCAGUUAUUUCUGAUUUGAAUGCCAGAAGCGCAAGUUCAUCAGUCUCAUUCCUGACUAUGGCUGCUAAAACAUUGCCAGGAAAAGAGAAGUUAAUGACCAUGAAAAGAAUUGCAUGGAAGGUUAAACAGAAGGACAAGCUUAAACUAGAAACAUGGAAUUCCAUUUGGGAGUUAAUUGCUUGAAGUUUUCGGAGAGAAGCGGCUAAGAAUGGCACAACUGUAUGACAAUGUAAGCAACAGCAAUGGAGCCUAUUAUAUACUACUUCUUUUUCCUCUUGUUCAAUUUUCACUUGACUAUUUUUGCUUUUCCUUGCACUUUCGCUUGAGUACGCGAGCAAAGGGAACUACUAAUCAAUUGAAAAAAGUGGACGCUUCAUUUCAACUUUGCAAAUCAAGCCCAGCGCUGAAAGAAGCUAGUCGCAAGUGGUAAAAGAAAAAGAAGACUAGUAACCCAAACUAGAAAAUGGACCGCAUUCGACUUCAUUUGGAUUACCAUACCGACUGGGCAAGCGACAAACCCUGGACAUUGACUUGCGUUUGCAGAUCUAGAUACCAUCCAUCAAUUCUUAGUCGUAGUAGUUCCUCGCUAGCUGUGGGGAACUUUAAGGCACAAAAUUGCAAAUUUAGGGAAUCCAGCGGUCUUCGCCGCUGUUUUAUUUUUAUGUGAACGGUUGACUUUAACAAAACAGAGUUUUCUUUGUUUAUCAUAGAUUGCUAUCUGAAUUGGAUUGCGAGCUGCACAUCGAGAUUUGUAAUUCCAUGGACGAAAUUAUGAUCAACGGCCAAGCUGAAGUUUUAAACUUCGUGGACAUUAUAGCAAGUCAAUAUUCAAAAGCUGCUUGUUCUGGAACGGGGAGUAGACUUGUCUUGAAUCAUUAAAUAAAUUGUACAUUGCUUUGAUGGGCGGACAUGACUUUCGACGGAAACUUCCAAACCAUUGCCCAUACCAUCGCCUGCUUUCUACUUUCUACUGCUAAUCGUUCGUUGCCUGCCAAAAUGACAACAGCUUGUUGACUUUUGAAUGUGUGAAAACGAGAGAGAGAGAAAAGAUACGAGAGAUCCAGCCCUAUGGAUUGAUAAUCCUUUUACGUUGUUGUCAAUCCGAUAAUUUCGCAAUCAGAAUUCUACUGAAAUAACCCACCACUCAUUCUCAAACGGCCAAGUGGAUAAAAGGAGUUGAACUUUUUGGAUCCAACUACAAUUAGGGUUGCAUUAUACAUUAAGCGAAGAAACUUAAUAAGAUGUAGUACACCUGCAGUUUGAAUUCCUAUGCCGCCAGGCUGCAUUCCGGUAACCCUGACUUUCACAACAAUGAGGGAUAUCAUUAACAGAUACAUAAUGAUGCAAAGCAGAAAAUAAGAUGAUCAGCGAAGUGUAGAAGGAAACCUGGAUUAGAAGGGAAAAAGUCCCAAUGGUCAUUAAACUUUUAUCCAGGUAAACUUUUAGCCCUCCAACAAUUAGAAGUAAACUUUUGGUCCCCGAUCUAUCAAAAGUGCAAAAUAUUGGUCCUUCCGUCAAUUCCAGCAGUUGAGAAUGACAGAAAGCAACAUCACAUGCGAUGCACGAGGAAUUAGCAGGGGCAUUCUUGUCUGCCCACGAGAUACUGCCAAUAAUUUCAACAAGAAGAACAAGAAGAAGAAGCAGAAUCAUCACCACCAUCGUCGAACUAAGAAGAUGAUAUUCUUCCACAAAAGAUGUGCACCAUUUGCCUAGACCACAUAGAUUUGAAGCUCAAGGUGAGGUAGCUUUCCAUGUCCACUCAUGUCUUCCACAGAGAUUGCCUAGAUAAGCAGUCGAUUCCAGUUAAGUUGCUUGCCCACUCAGUAGAUCUUUGUUGUUGUCGUCACCAAUCUCAACAGAUGUGUUCUUGCCGCUGCCAUCGGAGAUCCACCUCUAGCCCCGCUCCAGCACAAUGUUUCCUUAAUUACCAGUUGACUUUUCUUUAUUUCCUUUUUAUUUUUUUGGGAAAUUUUAAACCUCUGUUUCUUAGACAUCAUCCACACAUGGAAAGAUGAGGUAAUUUUAGAUCUGUAACUAAUUGUUACUGAUACAAUUUAGUACUAACACCCCCCUUUUCUUCUUAUUCAAAUAUCUUCAUCUUUUUUUAUUUUUCAUCUUCACUAUAAUUUUUAGGGAAAAAAGUCCUAGUGCCAACCAUCGGUGAACCCAUUACUGAGAAAUCAUUCAAGGGGAUUAUUGAACAAAAAAAGGAACCAAAAACCUUGAUAUGGUUUCUCACCUAAUAGUUGUUGUCGUAUGUCUAAUGGAACUGACAAUGAUAUGGUGAAAGCAAGACCUUGGUUUUUCAUAAAAUUGAAGUCUAUUUCACUGCUGCUGGUACUCAUGAUUGCUUUGUAUAUCAAUCUGGGGUAUUGAUUCUCCUUUCAUGGAGUUACCAUCCAUCAAUCUCUAACAUCUUGAAAUCCUUAAAGCUUCCUGAACCCUCACAACUUGCUAUUUCGGCAAAAGCCAACUUAAAUGGGUUUGGUGAGAGAUUGAAGCAGCUUUAAUUUGACUCAAUUUCUCAUCUGUCCCUGCUGAUUAAUAAUAUUGGCAGAGGAGAUAAUAUUCAUGAAUCUGACUCAUCUGCAAGCGACGUGUUGGUUUCCAGCUUUCUGGUGGACUACAAUGCCCUUAAUUUGUUCUCAUGUUUCACACGUAAUAAUGGUUUUCGUCACUCAUAACUACUGAACUUAACAGAAGAACCAAUAAUUUGUUCUUUUGAUAGAUCGGAGGCCAAAAAUUUACUAUUAAUUAUUGGAGGGUCAAAAGUUCACCUGAUUAAAAGUUGGAGGGCCAUUGAAACUUUUUUCCCAGAUUAGAAUGGUAGUAACAAUUGAGAAACUUUUUUCCCAGAUUAGAAUGGUAGUAACACUUGAUGACAGCCAGUAGAGUGAAUGUCGAAGAACCAUUUACUUGAUGCAAGUAAGGGGUUCUAAGGGAUUUAUCCCUAGUCCUAGUCCCGCACAGCCAUCACAACUUUGAUAAUGCAACACUUCAGGAGAGACACUUAACUAAUUAAAUGCCUUCCAUCGGAUUUAAUGUCUCAAAUGGUGCCAGCUUGUAACAAAUGCAAUACCAUGCAGUAAGUCAAUUUUGGCCUCGCUGCAAUUUUCGUCGUGCACGAUAGAUUUGGCAGCCUCAAGUACACUCUUAUGCAGCCAAAAAAUAAGAGCAUGUAGUCAUUAGGAACGCCAAACUUCUGUCCUCGAAAUAGAAGAUUCCUGCUACCUGUGAGACCUAUGCCCAUGAUGUGACAGCCCCACCUCCCCCUAAGGCGUACCAAAGGGUUCAGCGGGCCGCCUGCCCAACUCUCGCCGGGACUCAGUCGUUCACGUCAAUCCUCAAUCGAAAUCAGAAUAAACCCACAAGACUAAACAUAACAACGAUUCAAAACUUAAAACAAAACUUGUAUACAUUGCUAUCUCAAAAGGGAGUACAAACAUCGAAUAUACAAAGGUUCUCAAUUCACCAUACAUCCAACCCGCUGAGCAUUAGGGCGAGAACCAUUACAAAACCAAAGAAACCAAUCUAGGCUAGACUCUACCGAGCUCUCGUCCUUGCUCGUCGUCCUCUGUUAAGGAAAAUAAAACUAAAGGAAUGAGUUAAAAGCUCAGUGAGGUUCCGAACACAUAGGCAACAAGAAGUUCAAUGCAUUCAUUACAUAUAACCAAUAAUUCAAGAUAUAAAUACAAAAUAAAGCGAUAAACACAUUCAUUAAAAGGAUACGGACUCACAGGAAGCCAUAUAUUCGUUCGUUCGUUCGUUCUCCUGUCAUUCCCCUUAUUCCUCCGGUCAAUUAAAUAAAAUAUAUUUUUGGUAAAUAAACCCCUCGUUCGUUCUUUCGUUUCGUUCACCCCCUCCUGAAAAUUGGCCAGGCUCCACCAACCUACAAGGUAAUACUCAAGUAUACCAACGUUCACACCCAUGGUCACCAUAUUGCCCGACCGAGUCCGCUUCUGGCUCGAGUUGAUCGGUAACGAAGGGCAGGGCCCAAUUCAACCAAACGGCUUACAUUCAUGCGCAACUAAUGUAGCAAUUAUUAAAUCAUUAAAAAUUUCACGUUUCAUUUAGGUCGAGCGCGGUAAAGUACACGCUCGCCUAGAAAACUCGUUUUGAAAAUUCUUGAAAGCACUUAACACAUUAUCAAACAAGAACACAAGUCAUAAAGUCAAGAAAAAUAUAGUAAGCAAGGAACACUCACCUAUAUACGCAAAACAACGUGCAAAAUAUCCUUUCGGAUAUUAUCUUUAGUCACCAGGAAAACCUAAGAUUAAACAAGAAAGAAUAUUACAGCUCAUCUAACACAAACAAUUUGGUGAAAUCAAAGAACUCGACAAUUGAUGAGUAGAACGUAUAAAAGACUUUAAAGUGAAACGAGAACAUUUGGACCCGUGGACAAAAAUAAUUAGGGUUUCAUAGUCCAAACGUAAAACCUAACUCAAAAGGGUUAUAAAAUUUUUCAAUAGAAACACUUAAACCAAAGGCAAGUCGGAAUCCAGCUAGGUAGGCUAAGAAAUAUUAUUUUCGGGAUCGUUUAUAUGGUUCAAAAUCAUCUCAUAUCUAAUUAGAUAUUAUAGACUAAAUAUUUUAAUGAAAUCCAUGAAAAAGGGAGGACAAAAUACCCAAGAAAAUCCUAAACCACUCUUUUUUAUUUGGUAAGCGUAAGUAAACAUUUGGAGUUUCCAAUUAAAGAAGGAUCAUGUUUUAAGAUUAAAAACGGUCAUAGUAUUUGCCAAACGAAAAUAUACAAAUUCAAAUAGAAACUUAGCUCUCGAGCGAAAAUUUGGGCAGCACGCCCUUUGUAUUUACCUAUUUUUCCAGCCAUUUAUGACUUAAUUGUUUUCCUCAAUUAAUCCCAAAGUCACACACAAUAUCAUCUCAUUUCAAUAGCCAUUCCAUAGGCUCAAAGUCAUAUAAGUACAAAAAUCAAGCUAACAACAUGUGCGGAAAUGAAGUUUAACAAAAGACAGAUUUGACGGGUUUUGCGUAAGGGACACAUCCGAAGCUACGCUUAUCGGAUUGGGAUAUACUUUAUACCGUUUCGAAGCUAAGACAUAGGGCUACAAUUUUGAUGAAGACCACUUAGUCCAAAUUCCAGUGUAACCUAGUCAAAUUCCCAAUUCCCAGAACCAAGUUCCAACUAAUCGGCUAAUUAACCGUACUACCUUUAAAUGGUCAUAUCGCAGGCUACCAAAGUCCGUUUAAGGCGUUCUUAGAGGCGUUGAAAACCUAAGACAAAGACCUACAACUUUCAUGAAAACCACUCAGUCCAGUUCUCACCCUAACUAGGCCAAAUUUAGCAAAACAACUCCAGAUUUUUCAGUUCAAAAUUCACUGCGGAAAUCAACUAGCAGUCCUGCUUUAUUCACUCAUAUCUCAGCACACACAACUCCAAUUCAGGUAAUUCCAAAGCCAUUUGAAAGCUAAGAUACAAGGCUAUAAUUCUUAAUAAGACAUCAUCAACCAAUUCGGUAAUAUUCCUGGUCAAACUAACCACUUACAGAGGCUGAUUUUUAUUUUCGGACAGAAACAGGGCAGCAGGGGUAUUUCGGUCUUUUCACAGGCUACGUUACUCCGAUUGAGCUGAAAUUUUGCAGGAAACUAUAAAACAUCAUUCUCUACAACUUUUAUGUUUUGUGCUAAGGCUAGUUCGACAUCUAACAAGGUGAAAUAGAACCAGGGAGAAUUAGGAAAAAAAAUGAAACCCUAAUCUGGAAUUCAUGCAUUCAAGUGCUAAUCUUCCACAAAACAACAUAUAAAACAACUAAAAACCACUACUAAGCAAUUAAUUGAAGUAAAGAAGAGGUUCUUGACAAAAUACCUUAUCUCCCUAUGAAAGAUGGUGGCUUAGGCUUUGUCCUCCAAAAAUAACUCCACAAACACCUUGGAAACUACUUGGAAAGUAAGUUUUAUGGAGUAGUUUGCAAAUUAAUCGGUUGAAACUCAAGAUUUGGGCAAGAAAUUGAAAUGGAAGACGAAGAACUCUCUUGGUUUCUCUCUCACUAAUUUCAGCCAAAGGAGACUAGAAAAUGAAUGAAUUUUGGUCAAAAAUCUGAUUUUAGUAAAGUUACCAACCUUGGUCAAAAGUCCAACUUCUAAUAGCAUAGUGACACUUGGCUCAUUUUAGGGUUUUAAGCUUAUCCUUUUGUCUACCAAUGGUAAUUUAUCUAGUUAACUUUUAAUUGUCUCCUAGCACCUUGUAAAAUAAUAAUAUUUCGCACAAAAAUCACUUAAUCACCAAAAUUUUAUCGCACUAGUGGGUCCCACGUCCAUAACGCACUUCAAAUUUAACCCGAACUAACUUAUAUUAGAAAAAUGGUUGGAAAACCUAUAUUCACUUAUAAAGUGUCCAGAAAAUUAAUGUAGUAAAAUAAAAUAAGGAAAAUGCAUGAAAAGGAAUAGAAUUAAAUGGUAUAAAUUAAGAAAAAUUUUACGGGCUCUCACAUAUGAUCAUCUUCAUAAUUUCUUGGACAGCUUGGGGAGACUCCCUUAUCAUGAGUCAACCUUCUGUCUUUCCCUCUACUAUCUCUAUCUUCGGUUUUGUAAGAUUCAUCUUCAUACUUUCUUGAUCUUUUCUCAUCUCUCCUAUUACGAUCUUCUCCCCAGUUUGAUUCAAUAUCAUGCCUCCUUGACUCUCUAUCACGCAAGUCAUUCCCGUCAUCCCUAUGCCUCAUAUCCGUCUCCUUUGUGUCCAAUCUCUUCUCAAGUCCCCUAUCUCUGGGAGUCAAUUUACUAUACUCAGUAGUGUCUAUCUGAGCCCGCUUUGGUGCCCUUCAUCCUGGAACCUCUUAAGUCCAUAUCUGUCGACCCACGCCCUUCCUGAUUAGCAGAUUCCAGAACAUGGUCUGACACACCAGAUUGUUUUCCAUUCCUUGUAGAAACCUCGAACUUGUCAUUACCCCAUCUUGAACGCCUAUCCUCCUCGUGACCCUAACCUGUGUUUGCAGCUCUCUAAACCAAGAACAGAAAAGCACAAGCAACUUAAGAGACGCCAUCAGAUAUCCUAGAAACAAAGUAAGCAGCAAAACCUAUAUGUAAUCAACUAUCGAAGAACAGCAACAUUUCCAGGACCAGUAAAUUAUGACUCAACAAAAUACCCAUUAUAUAUUGUUUCUUCAGCCACAACCAAAAGUUGUAUAUUAUAUAUAACAUUUUAAUUAGAUGAGCUCGAUUAGACUCAAAUAGGCUCGAUUGAACUUGAUUAGACUCGAUUAGAUUUAAUUAAACUUGAGUUUAAGAGUAAGGUAAACUGAAAUCGAGUUCAAAUUCGAGUUCGAGUUCGAACUCAACUUCUAAAAUCUCGACAAAUUUGAGCUUAGAUAUCUUACGUCGCUAUCUGAACUCGAACUCGAUUUGAUACGAAUGCACUUAUAUAUUUGUUCAACCAGGUUGUUUUAUUACGCUAAAUAUUUCAACAAUAAUUGUUGAGAGGGGUUAAAGUAGGACUUUCAAUGGGUCAGGCCAAUCCAAGUUUGACUCGUCCAAUCUUAAAAAAACUCAAUGAGCUCGACCUUUCAGUGAGUCAGUCUAAAUUUGGGUCUAAAAAUAGGCCCAAUUUAAAUAUGAAUUAAGUUUGGACCUCAUUAAGUUCAAAUCCGAUAUAGGCUCGACCCUUUAAUUACCUAUAUAUAUAAUGGUAUAUGUAUAUAUAAUAUUUAUAUUUUGAUAUUAUAUAUUCAAAUAUAUUUUUACUAAAUACUAAAUGUAUAUAAAUUACAAAAUACAAAAUAUACAUCUAAAGACUCCUCUGCUAGUUUUCUUGAGAACUAAUAUUGGUAAUGUAUAAUUGAAACUCUAACAUUUCUUAUUAGUUGAGUAAAUUUUUAUAUGUUUUGCAUAAUAUUGGUUGAUUUCUUUUUGGUCUAGAAAUACAAAUCAUCAAGAAUGUUUGGAUUUAAGUUACAAGGCUAUGAAGAAAUUCCAACAUUUGAAGAUGUAUUGGUUUAUUACAACAUAUUUUAUUACUAUUUUUCAUGUAUUUUGAACGGAUUAGAUAUAAAUGUUGUUAAAAUUUUUUGAUUUAUGUAUUUUUUAAGAACUAUUACUUAUGCAUAUUUAAUUUUAAUGUUGUAGUUCUGUGAAUAUUAAAUUAAUUUUACAACUUAAUAGUUAUAAUAAUUAUAUUAAGAAAAUUAAAAUUAUCAAAAAAAAAAAGAAAAUUGAGGAGUAAUAAGUGAAUUUGGACUAAAUCUGAAUAAGGCUCAAAAUUCGAAUAUUUUAUGAAUUGAGUAUGAUCUUCAUAUUUAUUAAUCCAAAACUCAUGGUUAAAAACUUAAAAUAUUACAAAUUAAAUGAGUUGAAUCUGAACUUAUGAAAACUGACAUACAUAUAACAAGAUUGGGGACUGCAAACGAGUCGAACCGAGUCGAGUUUUGAACUUAUCAGGCCGAACUCGACUUAAUAAUAGGUGGGCUCGAGUUCGAACUCGACGAGCCAAGAAAAUUGAGCAUACUUCUAAGUCCAAAUUCCAAAUUAACACACGAGUCGCAUAAUGAUUUAUACUCUAUUAUCAUUGGAACUUGCGUGAAACUAGGAUUAAUAAUGGAGGGAGCAGUUUUAGAUCGUCUCAAUUUUUUUUUUAAUGCAGUUUAUGGUUCUUUAAAAAAAUAUACUACAUUCAGUAAUAAUUAGCUUGUACUUUUUUUUAAAUUUUCAAGCACCAUUUUUUUUUUUGAGUCUCCCAAACAAAAACAACUGACAGAACCCUCCCAUUUUCUUAUGUCACCCACGUUUUUCAAGCAAUGCCCCAAAGGCACUAAAUCCACAGACAAAUAAUUUUCUUUUGCCAAGAACCUCUGGAAGGCCUUUUACCUAGACUUAAAAGACAAAAAAAAAAAAAUGAAAAGAUAAAUCCUCGUCAAGUUACAGCAAACACUAACACAGUAGCAGUAUUGCUGUAGUGAAGCAGCAAAGCAUGUCACUCACAUGGCCUCAACCGGAGACGACCACUUCAUCAAUCUGUAUCUCUUUUUACCCCAGCCAUCAUUCCUUCAGCCUAAUACUACAAAAAGCUCCCCGCUCCCACUGUGGGCCCUUCCUUAGCUGGAUGAUAAAGGAAAAUGCUGCACUUCAAAGUUAUAAUUUUUCCCUCCUCCCUUUAAUUAUUCAAUUCACUUUUGGUACCCACAUUGCCUUUGUCUGUUACUAUCACCAUUACUUUUUGGAUUGAUUUAAGAUAAUUCGUAUACUAUAAUUUUUUUGGUUUAUUCAUCAGACUUUCUCAGUGUAUUAAUGGUUUUGUUCUCUUCCCAAGUUUCUUUCUUGACUUGAGACAAAAACUUUUGUUUGAUUUGUUUCUUUCUCAGAUUUCAAGACUUAGAAUCAUCAGUAUAACCCAGGCGAGAUUCAGUCCUUUUUGACCCCCAGUGAUUUGACCAGAAUUGCUUUCUUUUACUGCUUUUUUUUUUUCUCGUUUGUUCAACUGUUCAGGGUAUAAGAUCUUCACUUUAUGGUACUCUAAUAACUUGCUUAAUUGGAAUUAUAUGUGUAAUUUGGUGUUUGUCUUAAGUAGAUGGCUGUCGUCAAUUAAAGGGCUUUUCUUUUUCCUUUCUUUGGCAGUGUUGAUGGUGCAGCAUAAAUUAAAUUGUUGUUAGGGAAUGCUUAGAGCUUAAUCAAGCAUUUGGGAAAGUAAUGGCACACUUCAAGGACGAUCUUGAUCCUGCAUUUCGAGGCGCAGGGGCAAACCCGUAUCCUUAUUUUUGCAUUUGCUUUCACUAAUCUGUCAAUUAUUAAGUUUAUUGCCAUUCUUAGUUAUCUUCUUUUUUUGUUUUUUUUUUUGGCAUUGUUAUUAAUUCUUGAAAGAUGCAGCAUGCCACGAUCUAGUAGUGUUUAGAUCCAUAUGGUGUUUCCAAACAGAGUUCAUCCGUCAACUGUUUGCUUCCCGAACUUGUGUUAACUUAUUUCAUUCUGAUUUACUCUUCAAGCCACGAUAGUCUAAAAUACAAAAAUUUUAAUGGCAUUUGGAGAAAAAAGGAACUGAGCAGCAGAUAGAUAUAUCAGAAUAGAUAAUCAUCAUUAUCAUAAUUCUGCUUUGUCUUAAUGUCUUUUUGGCUUUAUCUAGCUCAUACACAAUUGAGGAUACAGAUUAUGUCCCAGCGGUGAAUCUGCUAUUUAGUUGGUAGCUCAAUUGGAAUAAUUAGCUUAUCCUUGAUCUUCUUCUGAGUUUAGCGGUCUGGAAAUUUGGUGUGUAGAGAAUCUCCGGUUGGUUCUGGUUCCAAAAUCCUCGCAUGGAAAAUUCUUUUCUGGAAGUGCAUAUCUGGUUUUGCAUGUAAGUCUAGAAAUUUCAACUGUAAGCUCUUGUUAUAGCAAGCUAUUAUCAUUUAAAGGGAUGAGUUGACUUGCAAUGAAAAAAGCAUUUUUCCUAGAGAUAUCUAUGCAUAAGGAAGAUGAUUCUUUGACAGCGUGCUUGCUCAAACAAUGUGACUCAUGUUCUCGCAUUGCUGAGUAGAGUGCUAUAUGUAUUUCCAUUGAGAUGGAAGGGAAUUGUUGAUUACUUCCUCGUAAUUUGUUUGAUGCAGACUUUCUUUCUUAGAAGCGGCUCUGCUUGGCAUGAGAUACAUUACUGGAUUGGAAGGGAUGCAAAAGAGGUUUCCCUGUUCUCGUAUUGUUUUUAAAUACUUGAUGUCUGAGCAAUAUCUUUUUGUUGGAGCUGCAAAAAAUAGUAUUUGACAGCUUUUGUACGUAACCAUAACACCAGUUGAUUCCAGAAGAGUUUGGUUAAUGGCAUCUUUGUUUUAGGCUCCUUUUUCGUCCUAAUUCUCAGGGUUUUGGACGGUGGCAAGCUGUGGAUGGGGCAGGGUUGUGCAUUAGUUUUCUCUGUAAACUUGAGGGCAUUAAAAAAUUUUCUAAUGUAUCAUGGUUUAAAAGGAUGCUUGGGAGAAUAAGUUGUUGCUUGUAUCUUUGGUCUAAGAAUGUGUUUGACGUUGCUUAUUAAAUUGGUAGGUUGACUCAAUUCUGGCAUCAGACAAAGCGCUUGAACUGGAUUUAGCCCUGGGAUCUCAGGCUGUGCAAUAUCGAGAAGUUCAAGGUGAAGAAACUCAAAAGUUCUUGUCCUAUUUCAAACCUUGCAUCAUCCCAGUUGAAGGGGUGUUUUCUUCUGGACGAGCAGAUUUGGAGACUAGUACAUACCAAGUCAGCUUGUUUACAUGCAAGGGAGAUCGUGUUGUUCAUAUUAAAGAAGUAAGAUAUGAAUAGUGGCGGACCUGUUAAAGGUUUUCUAUGAAAGUCUAAUAUUCACAAGCUCUAUAUAGAGAAUGAUGAGAUAUUAUCCAUGAUUUAUCGUAAUCAAAUAAUACUUCUUGACCCAAGUUUUUUGUGUUAUUAACAUCUAAUCAAGUUACAUAAACACAUGUGACACCCACACAGUAAUAAGAAUUUUACCUGACUGAUACAUGCUUUAUAUAUUGACCAGGUUCCUUUUACUCGGUCGUCUCUGAACCACAAUGAUGUAUUUAUACUUGAUACAGCAUUCAAGAUUUUCCUUUUCAGUGGUUGCAACUCCAGUAGUCAAGAAAGAGCUAAAGCUUUGGAGGUUGUGCAAUAUAUUAAAGAAACUAAGCACAGUGGAAAGUGUGAUAUUGCAACUAUAGGUAGGAUGCUUUCUAAUUUCUGUCACUUAUUUGUUAAUGGAGUUGAUAUUUCUAACCUUAGCUGUUGGCUUGAUGCAGAAGACGGAAAAUUUGUCGCUGAUCCUGAUGCUGGAGAAUUCUGGAGCUUAUUUGGUGGUUACGCUCCAAUUCCAAAGGACUUGCCCUGCAAUAGCCUACAACUGCCUGAAUGUCCGGCGACAAAACUAUUCUGGUGAGUUUUGAUUGAACUAACAAGGUGUCUAUAGACAUUAGAAGCGCUUUUCCCCAUUCUAUCCACUUAUAGUUCAUCAAGGGGUGGACCAAUGACCCAUGCUGCAAUUUGAUGCAUGAUUAUGCUGGCAAGUUCCUGGUUGGCAGUGAGAAAUUACAUGAACUUCUAUCUUCGACUCACAGGCUAUCAUUCAAUCAAUAGUACAUGACAAAUCUCAUUCAUUAAUAAGCUUUGACGUCAAUUCAGUUAUCUGUAUAUCUAUCUCUGAUUUUUAGCCUCCAUGUCUGAAAUGCCUUGGAAUCUAUUAGCAGAUGCAAACAAUUUAAGCUAUUUGUUCUUUUUAAGUUUCCAUCUUUUGUUUCGGCAGAAUGUCCCUUCUACUUUAGGAUUGCUUUAAGGUUCUCUGAUGGGCAGGAUAACUACUCAGGGAAAAAUGUGUGAGAAUGCACCUGGUAUACUGGUUAAAGAGAUGCUCAGUUCAGACAAAUGUUAUAUGUUAGAUUGUGAAGCUGAGAUUUUUGUUUGGAUGGGAAGAAGCACCUCAAUGACGGAGCGGAAAACAUCAAUUUCAGCUACAGAAGUAAGAGUCUCUUUUUGCUUUAGUUUCUUUCCCCCUUAUUAGAACCUAUGUGAUUGGUGGUUUCCAAAAGCAAAUGGUUUCUGGUAAUUUGCCUUCUUCUUUUAUAGACUGUUGUAGAUGCAAGAGAUGUGUUAUGAAGGAUAUGAUAGUUUAGGAAGGCAGAUAAACAAAUUUAAAUUGACUUCAGCUCAAGUACCUGUUAAGUACUGGUAUAUACUUAUCAAUUUGAUGCUGGCUAUCAUGAAUGAUUGACUACUAUCCAGCUAGGAAUCAAAGUAACAUUUUGGGACCUAUCUACAAAGUAACCUCCUCUAGGUCAGGUGUAUGUUCACUUCAUUACUCCUUUAUAUUCUUGGAUGUGCAGAAACUUCUGAUGCACGGAGACUUCUGUAUUUUUAAUACUAGAGCUAGACACGUAUAUUAUGCAAGUCUGUGGUAUGCUCCUUCUAAAUGCUUGACAAUUCUGGUACAUGUUUCACCGGUUAAACAUCACAUAUAUUUUUAGGAUUUGACUUCUGAUGAAGGUAAUAAUUGGUGUUUACUUUUCUAUGAUAUUUAGUUCAAAAACUUGAGAAGAUGCAGGGAAUUUUUAGGAUGGUAUAUGCAAUGUCUUGUCUGGAGCACUAAAAGGUGUGGAACACAAUUUGCAGUGCAGAUUUUGCAGCCUAGCCUUAAUGUCCUAUUCUUUCGUAUUUAUCUUGGUAUGAAAAGAUUAAAGUGCUAUUCUUCAUCUCAAGCUCCAAUUCUCCUGAUUGAACGCACUGGAAUCUGCAGCCAUGAAGAUCUCAUUAUCAUGACUUUUUAUGAUUGAAAAUGCUUUCAUCUGUGGUUGCUCUUCAAUGUGGUUUUUUCGUUUGUUUGAGAAUUUUUCUUGCCCUUAUUUAUUCCUCUUGAGCAUUACUUUGUUUCUUUCUUUGUUUCUGUUUGCAUUAUAUGCAUUGCACUUUAAAUAUAUGGUAAAUGUGUGUCAUUUUUUGGGGAAAAAAAUGAAAGUGAAAUAGUCAAUCUUUCUCCAGCACAAGCGACAGCCAAGGUUCUCUACUGGCAGAUCCGAAGAAACCAACUGAACUCAAUUCCGUUGAUUUCACAAGAACAGAAAAUAGAGCUCUCUAAAUUAUGAAGUAAACAAUUGAAAGAAAUUAUCCAAGUGGAAGAAACCAAUCAAAAUCAAUGCAAGAGAUCCGACCAAUCAUAUUUGAAUAACAGAUUUAAUAUCAUGGAGAAAAUCGCGUUCUAACUCGAGCAUUUUACUUCCCAGAUAUUUCCAGUCUGAUUUGUUUUUCUCUGCACAGGAUUUUGUGAGAGCUCAGGGAAAAUCAACUGAAAUCAAAUUAACUUUCUUGACUGAAGGAUCAGAAACUGCUUCAUUUAAGUCAUACUUUGGUGAUUGGCCUGAAAAAGCAGAGCCAAAAUUGUAUGAAGAAGGUCGAGGAAAAGUUGCAGGUUUGUGUCUCAUGGACUAUGCUACAAGGGAAAAGGAAAAUCAUGAUGAGGUGUUACUAAAUAUCUUGUCAAUAAUUGCUUGUACUUUCAGCAAUAUUUAAGCAACAGGGAUAUGAUGUAAAGGAGCUUCCGGAUGACAAUGAAGAAUCAAACCUGUUUAUGGAUAUAUGUGGUGAAAGAAAGGUUUAUCUUUAGAAAAAUUGUCUAUUUCUUGAAGCCCAAAGACAUGUAUUAAGUGUUUUCUUAAGCUUUCUAGUUCUCAGGUUUGGCGGGUGGACAGUGGCAAUUUAAAUGUUGUCCCUGUUGUGGAACCAAUGAAGUUUUACAGUGGGGAUUGCUACAUUGUGCAGUAUACAUAUCUCAGCGGGGGAAGGGAGGAGAAUUUAUUCUAUGCUUGGCUUGGUCAAAAAAGUCUGAUGGUAGGACAGCUUAAUUUUUGGAGAUGAAUGCUUGUAACUUUGCUUUAUCUACUUGUCAACUAUCCCUUGUAAUGGGCUAAAUCAUUUCCUUUACUUCUGUUUUUCAAGAAAAUAAUUUUUGGAGAUGAAUGCUUGUAACUUAGCUUUAUCUACAUGUCAACUAUCUCUUGUAAGGGGUAAAUCAUUUUCUUUACUUCUUUUUUUGGAGAAAACUUUUGAAUACAAGUUCUGAAUAUAUAGGCUAUGUGUUGUGUUGGCACGUACACAGGCAUGUAAAGUGGUGUUUAGAUUUUUAAAUUUGAUUUUGAUAUUGGUUCGGAGGUUGUUCUGCUCUGCCAGACACAUGUUGGCCAAUUUUCUAUUUUUAAUAUUUUAAUAAAGACAUUUAAUGUGUUGUGUUUUGGUGCUGAAAAUUAAUGAAAGACUCUUUACGUUAUUACGAAUGGAUCACAGGUUGUGUGAGGAACUUAGAGGCACUAAGCAUCUGCAGGCAAGAGUAGCUUUGUAAAGUUAAAGAGAAAAUACAGGAAUUGGGAGUUUUCUCGAAAACAAAAAAUGCAACAAAACUUGACGAGAAAUUCAUUAAGAAGCAAACUGUAUUAUCUUCUUGGGGGAAAAACCAUCAGAAAUAAGCUCUCUUUAGCUUUGCAGGCCAAGCAUGCUAGUCUUUUCCUGAUUCUUUCUUGAAAGACAUUCUCUGCCUGUUAUUUGUUGCUUCCAAGAUUCUUACUAAUUUUUAAUGCUUCUCCCCUAUCAUUUCAAUGUGUUUUUGAGUCCUCUCAUCCAUUGCUUUAAACUGUUAGGAUUGCAACAUUCUUCCUUUUCUUUUUUAAACAGGUUAUUCUUUAUAUUAUCUGGACUUUCUUAUGCUGAUACCAUGAGCUUGCUACUCUACAGGAUGAUAGAGUCCAGGCAAUCUCCUGCAUGAAUGACCUUGUCAAUUCAGUCAAGGGAGACCCAGCAAUGGUAACUACCCCUCUUAUCCCAUCUAAUCCAAUACAUGUGAUUGAUCUCUCUCUACUUGUGGAAGAAGUCGGCCUCUACCAGCAGAGUGCUCAUACUUGCAAGCUAGUUGUAUUGCAAGCAGUUCAUGUGUUGUUUGCUUUCCCUUCCCAAGUAGGUCAUAGUAUAGUCUGGACAGACUGUAGGAAGUUAAAUAGCCAUAGAAACUAGUGGCUAAGUAUGGCGUGGACUUGUAUCAUGACUUCACAAAUGCUAAAGAAUAUGUCUUAUGAUUUGGAAGUCUAGAGCAGAAUCAAAUAGUUACUGUUAUAUGAUAAAACUUCAUAUUACAGCAAAUCAGCAUUUGGCUUGAUUGUUGUUGACCCUGAAGUCAUUUUUGUGGAAAGUGGUUUUGUAUUCUCAUGUUUGUUUAUCUUUAUUCACAUGGGAUGAUUUUUUUAUUCUUAGUGGUUGUCAAAGCUUAUGUAAACCACAAUCGUUAGUUAUUUAUCACCAAUCACCUUGGUGGUAUCUCACCUUCUACUUACUCAUUUUUUAAACUAAUUUCUAAGCAAGAAGAAACAAGUUAGCGGGAGAUCACUUAUAUCACCAUAAUUGAUUGUUGACCUUAAAAACAAUUAUCUGGUUUAAUUUGCAUUUUAAGAAAGAAAAAUAGCAAAAGAAAUGUUCUUUAGUACCUUUCAAGUAAAGGAUGCUGCAUUAUUUCUGUAGUAUUCAGAGUAUAAGGAUAUUUAGUGGACUUGGUUAAGAUGGUCCAGAAAAUACGCUACUUAUGAGAGUCCAAGACAAUAAUAGGUCUUGCAACGUAAGGUCUUUUUGCUUGUCUAAACUACUACUGUGUUUCAUCCCUAGUAUUUCUCUUAACAUUCUAUGAAAAUAAUUCGUGAUGGAGUUUAUUUUUGUAAAAUUUGGUGCAUGAUUCAUUUCUGAAGAUGGUAUUGUUAUUGUUGUUUUACCUCAUGUCCUUGUUUAUCUUCUCAGUAGGUUUUAUGUUCAGUUAUAACUUUAGCGUAACACAAAACUAGGUGUAAAAUUUCCAGAGCUCUUCCAGAUCAAUUAUACAAACUAGUGGGUGUGUGCAAAUUAAGAAAAAAUUAAGUUGUUUUUGUUAAACCGAUAAUAGUUAUUAGAAUUUUUUUUUUGUGCAAAGAAAAGAAAAAGAAGUUAUGAUUUUUUUUGGCAAACAAAAAAAGAAUAGAAGUUAUUGGAAGUGGAUUUUUUUUUGGGGGUCAGUGAGAUGUCUUGAACCCUUACAACCCCUCCCACCUUACCACUCAACCCAACUCUACCCCCAGAAGUGGAAGUUAUUAGAAGGGUGAGCGGAGGGGUGGGAGGUUAAAAAAAAAUUGGAAGUUAUUAGAAGUUACUAAAGUUAAGUAGUUAUCUUCAGUAAAUCUUUACUUAUGAGAGGGUAAAAUUGAAAAACAAAAAAAACAAAAGAUGACUCAAAAUUUUAACACCAAACACCUCCUCAUGCUUUAUGUAUAGAAAAAUAGUGUAAGUAUCGAUUUUCUUUUUCCUCAGCCCUGUGGUCCAUUUCUGAACUUUUCUUUCAGGCUCAGAUUGUUGAGGGCAGGGAACCACUGCAAUUUUUCUUCAUUCUCAAGAUACUGAUUAUUUUCAAGGUACCACUUGUGCGUUUUCUUUUCCAGUUGUAUCUGAUUUGAUUUGGUGUCAAACACUGUUACCCUCCCCCCUCCCUCUCCCUCUCUGUCUCUAAAUCUUCCCUGUACUUCAUGAAGGGAGGUAAGAGUACAGGGUACAAGACGUUUACUGCAGAAAAUGAUAAUGCUGAUGAAACAUACCAUGACUCUAAGACAGCUCUUUUUCGAGUUGAAGGAACAAGUUCAUACAAUAUGCAAGCCAUUCAAGUUGAUGAAGUAACUUCUGUUUCAAGUUUUAUGCUAAACCAGUUCUUGGGAAAUUUCAGGCUCUAACUGACAUUUGCUGAUUAUUAAUUUUCUACAAACAUGGUCAUUUAGAAUGCUGAAAUUUCCCAUUCAAUUGCUAUCUUAAAUCUCUUUGCUCUGAUGGUAUUUCUGUACCUGAACUACACUUCAUCUUUAAGUCAUUUAUUUGGUGAUACUGUUGCAGGUUGCAAGUUCUUUAAAUUCUUCCUAUUGUUUUAUUCUAAAGACUGAGACUUCUACUUAUACUUGGAUCGGGAAUCUCUCCUCUGUCAGAGAUCAUGAUCUUCUCGACAGAAUGCUUGAUUUGAUCAAUGUACGCCCAUAGUCUGGAUUUUGAAAGCUUCCCUUGCCCGCUGCAUGUGACAUCUUGUUACUUUUCUGAUCAUUUGCGCUCUUCUUUUGAUGUUGUACGCAGCCAACAUGGCAAGCUGUACUUGUCAGAGAAGGUAGUGAACCUGAUUCUUUCUGGACAACACUGGGUGGAAAGGCAGAAUAUACUCGGGAAAAGAAAAUAAAAGAAUUUAUUGAAGACCCAAAUUUAUAUGUCACAUCUUUGGAGGGUGAGCUGCAAACUUUGUUUCCAAACUCUCUCUUGAAAAACAAAUGUUUUUUUCUCCUUGUACUGAGUACCCUUCCAGAUUUCAACUGCUUUAAAUUCAUGUCUAAUGGAGGGUUUGGAUCUUCUGGAACAUGGCUGAAUUUUCUACUCAGGGGAUUUGAAGGUACGUACAAAUAUAUUCUUAUAGGCAUGCAUGACUAAUGAUUACUGGUUCAUUUUAAUUAAUCAGUAAUUAAUUCAUAUGAAAUUAAACUUUUGAGAGUGUAUUGACUGCCUCAAAUUUGUUAGCGUAGUGAAUAGAUUAAGUACUGGAAGCAAGCUAUACGGUGACUGCUUCCUUUCUUACAAAAUUCGUAACUUGUGAAACUAAUAGAUUAUCAAAUUUUUAACAUCUUUUCACUUUGCUGAUUUUAUCUAAAUAAUCACAUAGUUUGUUCGAGGCACAUAAUCUAGAUACUGAGGAUCUAUGUUCCCAUUUUAACCAAAGUAGCCGCUUGAGCUCUUAGUUGCAUGAUAAUUACUGCCCAUGUAUUAAUUCUCAAGACUGGUUGGAUUAGUAAAUAAAAAUUGACCUUUUUACAUCAACAAAGGAACUUAUCUUUGUCAAACAGUAGAAGAUGUGUAAUCAGAACAGGAAUUUCAAUCUAGUGUUUGUGGUUCAUAUCUUUUGAAGGAUUUGUGAUACAAAGCGGCGAAACUUUGAAAGUUAAAGUAUGUAAAAAACUUAAGAAUGGAGCAACUGUUCUUCCUAUUAUCACUAGAAGUAGGACGAUCAUCAAAACUACAUGCAAGAAGAUCUAAGCAUAUCUUUGCCUAAUGGUCCAAAGUAGAUCCAGCUCUUGCUUAAUAAGAUGGUGGCUGGUGUUGCAUCUGUUACUAUUAUAACAGAUGCAGGAAAAGGUGCAGAUUUUCAAAGAUGGAAGGGAUUUUCUCUUUUUCCUUCUCUUCCUGUUUCUUUUGUUUAUACUGUAUGAUAGACUACAGUCGAUGUGAUUAGGACAGAAACGUAUUAAGAUAAGUUUAUUCUUCAGGAUCAUGUUUUUGCAGUGAUUUGUUGACCUUAUAACACGUGGCAUAUAGUCCAUGGAGCUAAGUUUCUGGAUUAAGCGAAAGGACAGAAGUGCUGUUAAGUUAGUGACAUCAGGAAGAUGGUUUGCGCUGAAUCUGAUGCUAAUGCUAUCUUCACAUUGCAGGUGAAAGAGAUAUUUAACUACUCCCAGGAUGAUUUAACAACAGAAGAUGUGCUAAUACUAGAUUGCCAUUCUGAUAUCUAUGUCUGGGUGGGGCGCCAUUCCUCUGUUAACUCAAAGCUUCAAGCUCUUACUCUUGGCCUGGUAAUGAUUGAAUGCUUGUCUUCAAUGAUUGAUUUAGCUUUUCUCUGACCAGUUUGGAAGUUUUUGCUUUCACAUGGCCUUAGCAUGUGUUGGUUUAGUAGCUUCUGGAAUGAAAAUUAUAUGGUGCAUCAGUACUUUCUUUGACAUGUAUGGUUCAAGAACCUCUGGUGUCAUAGCCAGAACAUAACAUGUGAUAUCGGCUUUACAGUCUAUAGGAUAUUUGCUCUUUAAAGUUGCACUUAACAUUCUUCAUAUGCAUAUUGAUGAUUUUUGGCCAUAUGUGGAGCAUCGUGAUUUAUGUUACCAUUGGUUAUAAUAUCCAUGUUAUUCAUUUGUUAUUCUACCUUGGAGAAACCAGAAGUUCCUUGAGAAAAAAAAGUCACUUGGGCAGCAUCAAUUGGAGCCUCCUCUUUAUGUUGUUACUGAAGGAUCUGAACCACCAUCCUUCACUUGCUUCUUUCAAUGGGAUCCCUCAAAGGCAAAUGUAGGUGAUUGUUUAUACUUUCAAUAAAAAUUCAUUUUCCCCUUUUGCUUCUUCCUUUUUCUUACAUUGGAGCAUUUUUUGGUGCUUCAUUUGGAGUGAGCUACAUUGCAAGUCAGCUGCUUUUUUGAAAUGUUUGAUGAACUAAACUGAAACAGCAGUUGCAUACGUUUCAUUUCCUUUGGUGGUUAAACAAUGCCGCAUAUUGUAACCUGUCAAGAGAAUAUAAGUAUUCUUGUAGAUAAUAAAUUAGUAAGGGUAUUCUUGUAAAUAGUUUGUUAGGUUUGUACUCCUAUAAAUACUAGUUGGUAACUCAUAAUACAGUGACUAGAUGUUUUCCUUCCAAAAUACCAGUUGACAUGGUAUCAGAGCAAAAGUCCUAGGGUUAGGGUUAAACAUCUAGCAAAAGUCUUGACGCGAUACUGUUCAUCGCGCACUGUUCACGCGGUACUGUUCACGCGAUACUGUUCACCCCGGUACUAUUCACGCGCACUGUUCACGGCGCACUGUUUAUAGCGAAUUUUGAUUGCUGUUUUGUUUGAAGUGCUAUUCGCUAUGGUUGAAAGUUUUGCUAAUGGGGUUACCACUGAUCAAGUUAAAUCAAGUUCUUCAGCACAUAGGUCCCAGAAAACUGUUAUUAUAUCCGAGGAAGAUUAUGUUAAAUUCUUACAGUACCAAACUACAAGUCACGCAUCUCUUCCCUCUGCUUCUUUAGCACAAAAAGGUAAUGACUCAUGGAUUAUUGACUCCGGGGCUACUGAUCAUAUGUCAGGUACCUCUAAAAUUUUUUCUAAUUUUCAAGAGUCUACUCCCUUUCCUCAUGUUACUUUAGCUGAUGGAUCUACCACUAAAGUUAAAGGACUAGGCACUGUAGAAAUUAAUCCAUCACUUCCGCUGUCUUCUGUUCUUUACGUACCCAAUUUACCAUUUAAUCUAAUGUCUGUUAGUAAGCUCACUAAAUUUCUACAGUGUACAGUUACUUUUUCUCCUGAUUCCGUUGUCAUUCAGGAUUUGAAGACAAAGAGGACGAUUGGUGGAGGGCAUGAGCAUAAUGGUCUUUACUUUCUCAACUUUAAUGGUCCGAUAGCAUGUCCUGCUACUGUUUCUCCUCUUGAAAUUCACUGUCGUUUAGGUCAUCCGUCUUUACAAAAUUUGAAAAAGUUGGUUCCUACUUUGAAUCAAUUAUCUUCGUUAGAAUGUGAGUCUUGUCAGUUAGGAAAGCAUCAUCGUGUUUCUUUUGCUCCUAAAGUCAAUAAACGGGUUUCUGAACCCUUUUUGUUAGUUCAUUCUGAUGUUUGGGGUCCUAGUCGAGUCACUUCAAAGUUAGGUUUUAAAUAUUUUGUAGUCUUUGUUGAUGAUUUUUCCAGAGUUACAUGGCUUUAUUUAAUGAAAGAUCGUUCAGAAUUAUAUUCCAUUUUUUGUGCAUUUGUUACAGAAAUAAAGAAUCAAUUUGGUGUGCCUGUGCGUAUACUUCGCAGUGAUAAUGCGAAAGAAUAUUUUUCCACUCCUUUUAAUACCUUUAUGACUAAGUCUGGUAUUAUUCAUCAGUCCUCUUGUCCUCACACUCCACAACAGAAUGGAGUUGCUGAAAGGAAAAUUGGACAUUUAAUCGAAAUUGCUCGAACACUGUUGUUGCACAUGAAUGUGCCCAAACAAUUUUGGAGUGAUGCAGUUCUAACUGCAUGUUAUUUAAUUAAUCGCAUGCCAUCUAAUAUUCUUGAAGGUCAAUUACCUCACUCCAUUCUUUUUCCUCAUGAACCUGUGUUUAAAUUGCCUCCUCGUAUUUUUGGAUGUGUCUGCUUUGUUCAUCAGCUUGCUCCCGGGGUGGAUAAAUUAGAUUCUCGUGCUAUUAAGUGUAUUUUCUUAGGAUAUGCACGAGCGCAAAAAGGGUAUAGAUGUUACAGUCCAGUUUUAAAUCGAUUUUUUACUUGUGCUGAUGUUACUUUCUUUGAAUCCACUCCGUAUUUUAUCAAACAAAGUAUGUCUUGUGAGUUAGACCAGUGUCCCUCUUUUUCCUCUCCUGUUUUACCAGUCCCUUCCCCUUUAUUACCUGAGUUAUCUAGUCCACCAGAUUCCAUAGCUCGAUUAUCUCGUCCUCAUCUUCAAGUUUACUCUCGUCGUUCCAUGGUUGAAAAAGUUCCUGAUAUGCCACGCACUUCACCAAUUAAUUCUCAAUCUUCCAAUCCAGGUAUGACGCCCUCCUCUGAGUUAGAUCUUCCCAUUGCUUUACGCAAAGGUAAGAGACAUUGUACUUCCCAUCCUAUUUCUAAUUUUGUUUCUUAUUCUCGUCUCUCUAUGUCAUAUUCUUCUUUUGUUGCUUCCCUUGAUUCUAUCUCCAUUCCUAAGUCUAUUACCUAUGCUCUUAAUCAUCCUGGUUGGAGAUUAGCUAUGCAAGAAGAGAUGUCUGCUUUGGAACAAAAUGGUACUUGGGAUCUUGUCCCUCGUCCUUCAGGUAAGCCUGUUGUUGGUUGUAAAUGGGUGUACACUAUAAAAGUGCAGCCUAAUGGUUCUAUUGAUAGAUUGAAGGCUCGGCUGGUAGCUAGAGGAUUUACUCAGGUGUAUGGAGUAGAUUACUUAGAAACUUUUUCUCCUGUUGCAAAGAUUACCUCUGUUCGUCUUCUUAUCUCUUUGGCAGCCACUUAUAAUUGGCCAUUGCAUCAGUUGGAUGUGAAAAAUGCAUUUCUGCAUGGAGAUUUGAAAGAAGAGGUAUAUAUGGAACAACCUCCUGGAUUUGUUGUUCAGGGGGAGAAUCCGCGGUUGGUUUGUCGUUUGAAAAAAUCCUUAUAUGGAUUGAAACAGUCUCCGAGGGCUUGGUUUGGCCGGUUUAGUAGUGUUGUCAUGGAGUUCGGUCUGACAAGAUGUGGAGUAGAUCACUCUGUAUUUUAUCGGCAUUCUAAUGCUGGUAAAAUUUUAUUAGUUGUUUAUGUGGAUGACAUUGUGAUUACAGGUGAUGAUGUUGUGGGGAUUCAGAAACUUAAAUCCAAUCUGCAGGCAAACUUUCAGACAAAGGAUUUAGGUCAUCUACAGUAUUUUCUGGGUAUUGAGGUAGCUCGGUCUAAAUAUGGGAUUUAUUUAUGUCAAAGAAAAUAUGUACUCGAUAUGUUGAGUGAAGUUGGGAUGUUAGGUUGCCGACCUGUGGAUACUCCUAUGGAUCCAAAUGUGAAAUUAGCAGGAGAUCAAGGUGCAUUACUUGAUGAUCCUAAGCAAUAUCGAAGACUUGUGGGUAAAUUAAAUUAUCUCACUGUAACGAGACCUGACAUUUCGUUUGCAGUGAGUGUUGUGAGUCAAUUUCUUGAUACCCCUCGUACUAGUCAUUGGGAUGCUGUUAUACGGAUUCUCAGAUAUCUUAAGAGUGCUCCUGGAAAAGGGUUGCUGUAUCAAAAUCAUGGACACACUGAUAUUGAAGGAUAUAGUGAUGCAGAUUGGGCUGGUUCUGCCUCAGAUCGAAGAUCGACUACAGGAUAUUGUGUGUUUGUUGGUGGUAAUUUAGUGUCGUGGAAGAGUAAGAAGCAAACAGUUGUAUCCAGAUCAAGUGCAGAAUCUGAAUACCGCGCUAUGGCUCACACUGUGUGUGAGUUGGUUUGGUUGAAGAGCAUAUUACUGGAACUUGGGUUUGAGCAUAAACAGCCUAUGAAUUUAGUGUGUGAUAAUCAGGCGGCUGUUCAUAUUGCGUCUAAUCCAGUGUUUCAUGAAAGGACAAAACAUAUUGAAGUUGAUUGUCAUUUCAUUCGAGAGAAAUUGCUUGACGGGGUCAUCAAGACAUCUCAUGUACCGUCUGUAGAUCAAUUGGCUGAUGUGUUUACCAAGAGUUUAGGGGGUUCUAGGGUGAAAUACAUUUGUAACAAGUUGGGUGCUUAUGAUAUAUAUGCUCCAACUUGAGGGGGAGUGUCAAGAGAAUAUAAGUAUUCUUGUAGAUAAUAAAUUAGUAAGGGUAUUCUUGUAAAUAGUUUGUUAGGUUUGUACUCCUAUAAAUACUAGUUGGUCACUCAUAAUACAGUGACUAGAUGUUUUCCUUCCAAAAUACCAGUUGACAUAACCUUUCUCAUUUCAGAUGCUCGGUAACUCAUUUGAGCGAAAACUUGCUUUAUUGAAGGGAAAAACAGAAAAACUUGGAGUAAGUGACUGCUUGUUUUGAUCUUUAUGUAAUAUAUUCAACCUAAAACUUUGUUUCUUUUAGAGUGGACUCCUCCAAGCACUGGAUGAAAGGUCUACACAACAUUUAUUGACAGCUAAAUUGCAUCUUUAUAAAUUAUAUGCAUCCCUUUUGCCUUCUGGGAUUUACAUAAAGAGGAAAUAUCUUACAUGCAGAUAAGAACUUCAUGGAAAGCGUACUCUAUGGAAACUGUCUCUAAAGAUUUGAAAAGUAAGACCAAUGGUGUAAAUGAUUCCAGAAGAAGUUUAUCUCCUAUGUCUACUGAUUUCAGCUCCAGUUUAAGAUCUUCAGAUUUUCGCCGCUUUUCAAGUCCACCUCCAGUUAAAAAAAACCUUUCGGCAGGAUCUCCUAAUCUGGACAAUAACAAUGGUGAAGCAUUUGUCUGAAAUUACAUUAACAGUUUAGGUUCUCAUGUAGCUAUUAGUUUGAUGGUGAUCAUAAUUCCCUUCACCUGCUGAUAAUAACUUUAAUGUACAAUUGUUGCUUUACUUGUAUAUUUUUCUAAAGCUGCACAUAUCUAUUCUAAAAGAAAAUAGAAGAAUGCAAAGUGCCUCUUUCUCUAUGUAUUUGUGUAUCAAAAGCAGAGAUGCUUAAUAGUGUUUAAGCUGCCUACUAUAUCGUCAAUACAGGGGCUAUGCAAACCACUAAUUAUUUAACUGUUACAUGCUUUUAGUGUCUGAUUUAUGUAAUUAGAGUUGUCAUGCUAUUUAAAUUGAACGUCAGAGUUGCCUACUGAUUUUUCUUCUAUGGCCAUGGUUUACUUGUCAAAUUGAAAUUAAUUAACUUUCAGAGGAGAAGCCUUAAUUUGCACAGACAGCAGUUACACGUAGUAUGGCUGCAUUAUCCAAUUGAGCUCCAAUCUCUCUCUUCCUCUCUCUCACACACAUACACAGAAUAUGUAAGUGUUUUGGUCCUCUACCAUCUGUCUCUUUUCUUUUUUGGGCAUCUCAAGUACACAAUGACUUGCUGUUUUCCUUUCCCAGAUGGGGCUUUCCUUCUGUUUUUUCCCCCCCUUUCCUGGCUAAUUCUCCAGCCACAUCUAUCAUGUUCUUGGUUCAUAUCACUUCUAUGGCAUCUUCUCCAAAUAGUAAGUCUGAUUAUGACAACAUGCUAAAGCAAUCAGGAAGUAGUAGCUCCAUUUAGCAGGCUGCAUGCCGGCCUUAUUUUGUGCUAUCUUUUUUGUUUUCCUGCACUCUUAUGAGAAGGGAAAGUUAAAAAAAAAAAAGAUGUCCAAAGCAAAAUGUGGCCUAAUAAUCAAUUUGGCUCAUGCAAUAUGCAUAUUUUUUAGUAUUUCAAUAAAAGGAAAAAAUGAGGGCUGAAAAUAUAGAUAGGUAUUCAUUUUGCUGAUGGGUGGUUUGGUCUCUGCAGGUUUUGUGAGUAAAGUUUCAAACCUUACUCGAAGUGCUGAAUCCCUGCAGCUUAAUGAAGCUGAGUAUGAUGUCCAUUUGGUAGCACAUCCAUAUGACCGACUAGUAGUGCAGUCAAACAACCCAGUAGCAGACAUAGACAUAACAAGAAGAGAGGUACAGUCUGACAAGUUGUGAAGAAUUUCAUCUGUUUCCUAUUUAGUAAUAUAGUUCUUUUGAUGGAUGCUUAAUGUCUUUGCUAGGUCUGCAAUUUUUUUUUAAAUUUUCCAUUAUGUCUUGCAAUAUCUACUUAGUUGAACCGAUCAUGCGGACUAGGGGUGUAUUCGAGUCAAGUGCACUAUGCGAGCUUGAGCUCGAGCACUAGCUUGAUUUUAUUUUGCGUUACUCGAGUUUGAGCUUGAGCUCAUGCUCAUUGAGCCCAAUCGAGCUUAAUCAAGCCCAAUUGAAUUUAAGAAAUAUAAAUUUAUAUUUUAUAUAAUUUUAAACAAGGGACAAAAUAGAUAUUUCAUACUAAUAAAUUUAAAAAAUUAAUGUGUGUGUGUGAUGCUCAAUAGAACUCGAUUAAACUCGACGAGAUUUCGAGUUUCACAUAUUAAGUCGAGCACGACUCGUCAAGUAGCUCAAACUCGAACUCGGUCAAUACAAGUUCGAGCUUUGACCGAACAAACUUGCGAGCUAUUUGAUUAAACACGACUCGUUUGUGCACCUCUAAGCCUCCAUUUCACUUAGCUUUUCUAAAUUUGUAUGUCAAAUGCCAAGUCCGAGAGCUAGCAAAACAAUACCUUAUGUUGCUCUGUCAUAAUAGCAUUAGUUCCUGAUUAAUCUUAAUAACAAAAACAGUUACUGAAGUUGCUAUUUCCAUCUGUAGGCUUAUUUGUCCUAUGAAGAGUUUCAAGAGAGAUUUGGAAUGUCAAAACAGAACUUCUAUCAGCUUCCGAAGUGGAGACAAAACAAGCUCAAGAUGUCACUUCAUCUUUUCUAGGCGUGCCACAUUCAUGCGGGAAACUGGUGGCGCUGGAUGAAGUUAAUUUUCACAAGUUUUAGGUAUGUAUUCCGGCCUAAAGUUGCCGGCCAAAAUGUAUCUUACUCCUCAUUCAUGAAGCAAGUUUUUAAUGUCUUUCACUGGAUAAGAAUUUUUGGUAAUGACUACGGUAUUAGACAAGGAAACUUGUUCGAAGAACGAAUGUGAUAUUAUAUCCUUGCUUUUGGUUCUCGUGUGAUUGUUCCCCUGGAAAUCUACCAACAUUGGGUGAGGCUGAGAGCUUGAUGAAGCUCAUUCCUGGGGAUUUCACCAUAUGCAGUUCUCAAGACUUAUUAUUGUGCUUUGAGGCUAUUUUGGCAAGAAAUUGGAAGCGCCACUCUUCCCAAGCAGAAAGAUCUAUUUGGAACAGUGCUGUGGUAUGGUAAAAAAAGGUUUAUAUUAAACAGCAAUUCCCAUUAUAGUUGCCCUUUUGAACCUUAAAUCAGAAUGUUCUGUGAGUGGUCGAUUUUACAAUUGGAUUGAUCCCUUUUUAAGCAGAUUCCUUUUUGCAGAUUUUUAGUACUCCAUAAGAUAUAGGGAUAAUUUCAGAAACCUCCCCUGAGGUUUCUGACACUUUCACUGACAUCCCCUGAGGUUCUCAAAAUUUCACUUACCUCCCUUGAUAAAAAAUUGGGCCCCUUUUCUGACGUCAUCAGGGCCAAAAUUACAGAUAUAUCCCAAGUAGUUGGGGUUAAUUACUACCGUUUAUGUUUAAGUUACAUAAUGAAUUUUCUUAUUCUUUACGUACCUAUUCUUGUCAUGCAAGAUUACACGCCUGACUUCAAAUUACGUACUUUGCAAGAAAAUGUCUGUGGAGUCAUUUGUUACAAGACAAGAAGUUCAAUCAAAUAAGAACAAUUUAUGUACACAGGUGGGAUUGGGAAUUCAAGCUUGUCCUUUUUGGUAUUUAGGAUAAUGUUUUUAUAUGAACUCAAGGAAGAUGGAUAGCCUAUUUUGCAAGGUUAUUAGGUAAUUUACCUUUGUGGAAUUCUUGAUAUCAAGCCAUUUGAUUGCUAAUGUGGACAGGUGGCUUAAGCGCGUAAUAAGUGCCAUGGAUUCGAAGUUCGGCUGAAAUAUCACAUAUCGAACGAAGUCUUUAUUAGAAACCUAAUUAGAAACCUAUUAGAGUUCAGUGAGCUCUCGUACUAAGCUCCACCGCCAACCCUCCAUUUCGAAAAAAAAAGACAAAAGUAAAACAAAAGCAAACACACGAAGCGCAGAAUAACGUUGAAACCCGCAAGCGGGAUUAUGUGUUUUUUCUAUUUCAAGGUUAGCUCGCAUGCGGGUUAAUGUUAUAUUUGAGCGCGAGAAGAAAAAAUUGGUAAUUAGACUCUUUGGGCAUUAUAAGUAAAUAUUUAAAUUAAUGGCAGUUUUAUUACACCAAUAUUAUUGUAUUAUCAUUAUUAUGAUUAUUGUAUUAUUUCUUAUGCAAAUAUAACAUUUAAUUAUUUAAAUUUGAUUUUAUUUUUACAAUUUAUAAAAUUUUUAUCACUUAUAUAAUAUUUUUAAAACCCUAAUACAUCUAAAUUUGAUUUUAUUUUUCAAAUUUAUAAGAUUUUUAUUUAAAAAAAUGGGAUACGGAUAAGAUAUCCGGUUGGUUCGAUUUGCAUAGGUGCAUAUGAGAAUAUCCGAAUACUCCUGAAACCCGCAAGCGGGAUUCUGUGUUUUUUCUAUUUCAAGGUUAGCUCGCAUGCGGGUUAAUGUUAUAUUUGAGCGCGAGAAGAAAAAAUUGGUAAUUAGGCUCUUUGGGCAUUAUAAGUAAAUAUUUAAAUUAAUGGCAGUUUUAUUACACCAAUAUUAUUGUAUUAUCAUUAUUAUGAUUAUUGUAUUAUUUCUUAUGCAAAUAUAACAUUUAAUUAUCCAAGCAGUUUGAUUUUAUUUUUACAAUUUAUAAAAUUUUUAUCACUUAUAUAAUAUUUUUAAAACCCUAAUACAUCUAAAUUUGAAUCUAAUUUUCUACAAGUCAUACUUAUAAAUGCGAAAUCUAACAAAAAAGUUAAAUACAAUUUUUGCAGGUCAAAUUUAACAAAUGCGAGCUAUUUGCAAAAUUUUAAAUAUUUGCAACAUUUUUUAAAACAAAAAUUAGAAGCUUUCUGCAAAUAAUUCCCUACCUCUCAAAAAAUACCAAAAUAAAAAAGAUAAGAGCUCGCAUUUGCUUCCUAGAAAUAAUUCCCUAGCUCUUAAAAAAGGAAAAAAAAAAUUGAGAAGAGCUCGCAUUCGUGGAAUGCGAGCUCAAUAACCAGAGCUCGCAUUCCACGAAUGCGAGCUCUUGUAAGCUCGCAUUUGUGAAAUUCACAAAUGCGAAGACCCCCCUGACGGAAAUUAAACCCAAAAUCACCCCUUUUGUAGAAUUUUUUUAAAAUUCAUCACAAAGUUGGAAAUUUCUCAAUAGAAAUACAACUUGUCUGGAUUCCUUUCACUCUCUGAUAUCAUUACGGUUGCUUUGCGAUUACAGCGGCAAAACCUGUUUUUAAUGGAGAAAGAUGUAGGUGAAUUCCAUGAUUCUCCCCUAUGGCUUGAAGAGGCCAUGGUUGCAGCUAAAACUUUUUACUCAGAGCUCUAAUUGUAGCACAGCAAAUGCACUUGUUAUCACUCCAAAUUAGUAGCAAAGAAUGUUAAUAGCUUGAAACCUCAGAGGUAGUUAAGUUGCUUUGCUUUAUAUGCUAUUGCUACUGAAACAGCAAACCUUCUGGCCGUUGCAAUUUGCAGCUAGCCGUUGCAAAAUCUGCCAAAUAACUGUUGCAUGGCACAUUUGGUGCAUGCAAUUUUUUGUAUUGCACUUACCCCCCCUCAACUUUACUAAUUAGUCCAAAUCAUUUAUUCUUCUUUGAAUCUUCUACUAAUACAACUUCUGCAAAGGGUAGCUAUGGAAUAAAAAUACCUUCUCACACAUGAAAAUAAUAUUUUAAUCUGAUUUGGACUGGAUUGUUACCACAAAAUCAAAAGCAAGGGAGGUAAGUGAAAUUUUGAGAACCUCAGGGGAUGUCAGUGAAAGUGUCAGAAACCUCAGGGGAGGUUUCUGAAAUUAUCCCUAAGAUAUACCCUGUUGAUGCCACUGAUUGAUUGUGUGUGUCAUUUUCAUGAUGGUUUGCAGAGGCGGAACGCCACUGCCGACAUAGACCAUUCUUAUAUAGAGUAUUUUCUAGCCUUUGAAGGAAACGCCUAUUAGUGGGCCCCUUGACAAGGUCAACUCUUAGGUGCGGUUAUCACGAUACGCAUUCAAUGCCAAAAUUUCCAUCAGUUUCAAUAGUUUGAUAAUAAUUAUGUUUUAGAAAAUUAAUCAACGUACUAACAAAAGCAGCAAUUGCGUAUAAGAGCACCGUUUCUUAACAGUCGUGCGAUUUUCUUAGGUAACGGGUUUUACCGCAUAAUAAGUAAAUUAUAAUGAGAACUUGAAUGAGUUUUUAAUGUUUAACCGAGUGGAUUACGAGAAAAUGUCAAAUGAAUUGAUUUGACAUGACUUGAGAACAAGAUUAGUUACCUUUUGUUUUCCUUUCUUUUUAAUUGUAAGUGAGAGGUACACCAAAGCAUAUUCUUAAGCAGAGUGAAGGAGAUGAGACAGAGGAUUAAAGCAAACGAGGCUCAGGUAUUCCUCCUCACCUCAGUAAGGGAAAAGAAAACAGGAUGAAGAUGUUAAGUGAUUACUGAUUAGGACUUCUAAACCCACAAUUAGCAGAGAAAAGCCCCCAUUUAGUGGUAUAGACAGACAAGAAAACAUAAUGAAGAAUGGUAUGGGAAGCCCCCAUUUAUUGGUAUAGAUCGAAAAAAACCCUUUUAGGCAGGCGAGAACGCACCAUCCGAACGGAGUCCACCGAAAAGCUGCAAUGAUGAAUAACCACGUUAGUAAACGAUAGAUGCCUAUACAAAUAUGAAAAUUCUUAUCUAUCAUGGGAAUCCCUAAAGCUAAAUUAAACUACAAAUACAAAUAUAAAAAUCACUAAAAUCAAGGAGGCAUUUGUUCCUGUUAUUUCAGUUAAAAUCAAGGAGGCAUUUGUUUCUGUUAUUUCAGUUGUUAUGUCACUUUAUAAAUGCAAAGAUGAGAAUUUCAAGGAGAUUGGUUAGUAUUUUUUAGAUUGUUUUCAUCACUUCUUUGUCAUAUGUUGCUUAUAGAUAUAAAAAUAAGAAUUGUGAGAAGGUUGGUUAUUCUUUAGUUUAUUUUCGUCACUUAUGUCAUUUAUAAAUACAAAUAUGAAUCCCUAAAAUCAAGAAAGUGAAUUAACUUUUAGUCUGUAACUUCGAUUAUAAAUACAAAAGACUGGAAAUCCCAAAAUAAAAAAAAAAGUGGAUUAUCUUUUAGUCCAUCACUUCGAUUUUUCAUCUGAAUUUUUUUCAUCCGAAUAUUAAUAAGAAAUAAUUUUAUAGCAGAAUGUCCCAAGAAACAUUCGUGUCAUACACAGAGUACAAUUAGAUGUAUUUUGUAGAUCCACAAAUAAAAUCCAUCUUGUAAACAAAAUUAUGAAGUGUUAGUAGUAGAUUUAAACGAGGUCUCUUCUUCUCAAAAGAAGAAAAAGGAAAAAAAAAAAAAAAGAGGACAGAUAUAAAUGACAUCUGACAAGAGGAUGUACGAUUUGCAGUUAGAUUGGAUGACAAAACAAUUAUUUUCCCGCAAUCUCUAUCAAACUUCCCAUGCUAAAAUAAAAAAGACUGACGACUUCCAAAGACAUUGACGCCGUCGAAAACCACCUUCAUCAAGCAUAUACCUAUACCUCCUCAAGAUUCACAUUCAAUGGAGGAGAGAUAGCCAUGUCUUCCACGACACUGUAUUUACUACUGCCACAACUACUAUAAUAAAGUCCUAACCCCUCAAUCUAGUAUCCUUUCAUCCCCUUUUCUUCCUUUUCCUCCAUCCGCCGUCCCCCACAACAACUACUGCAACCACCCCCCGGGCUGUCUUCUGCUUUGUCCGAGCGUCGGUCCAACCGGCAAUCUGCUGAUCGCCGGGUAAAUAUGGUUCAGCGAACAUUGUUUGCCCAAUUAACCAUCUUCUUCUUGCUGUAUCUGGUCUUAAUCCCUUCUCCUUCACUCUCCUUUCCUUUCAAAAAAAAGCAACACAAGAUUGAUGGACCCAUUAAGACCGUCGUCAUUUUGGUCAUGGAGAACCGCUCCUUCGACCACGUUUUGGGUUGGCUGAAGAAGGCCCGCCCCGAUAUUGAUGGCCUCACUGGCUCCGAGUUCAACCACCUCAACGCCUCCGACCCCACUUCUGCUAAGUAUUACGUCACCGACAACGCCGUUUUUGUCGAUUCUGACCCCGGUCACUCCAUUCAAGCCAUCCGGGAACAAAUAUUCGGGUGCAACGAUUCGUCGGCCAACCCGGCACCCAUGAACGGGUUCGUUCAGCAAGCUGAGAGCAUGGGCGUUGAGGGGAUGUCGCGAACCGUCAUGAGCGGGUUUAAACCGGAGCUCGUGCCGGUUUAUGCCGAGUUAGCAAACGAGUUCGCGGUGUUGGACCGCUGGUUUGCGUCGGUGCCCGCGUCAACUCAGCCGAAUCGGUUCUACGUUCACUCAGCCACCUCCCACGGAGCAUCGAGUAACGUAAGGAAGGAUUUAAUUCAUGGGUUUCCACAAAAAACAAUUUUUGAUUCGUUGGACGAAAAUGACCUCACGUUUGGGAUUUAUUACCAGAACAUCCCAGCUACACUCUUCUUCAAGAGCUUGAGAAAGCUCAAACAUAUAUUUAAGUUUCAUUAUUACGGAUUAAAGUUUAAGUGGCACGCCAGAUUAGGGAAGCUUCCGAAUUACGUGGUGAUUGAGCAGAGAUACUUUGAUGUUAACCUAGUGCCGGCUAACGAUGAUCAUCCGUCGCAUGACGUGGCAGUGGGGCAGAAAUUUGUUAAGGAGGUAUACGAGACCUUGAGGGCUAGUCCUCAGUGGAAAGAAAUGGCAUUGUUGAUUACUUAUGAUGAGCAUGGCGGGUUUUAUGAUCAUGUGCCCACCCCUGUUGAAGGGGUGCCUAAUCCUGAUGGGAUUAUUGGGCCGGACCCCUAUUAUUUUGCGUUUGAUCGAUUGGGUGUUCGCGUGCCUACACUGUUGAUCUCGCCCUGGAUUGAUAAGGGAGCUGGUUAGUUUGUUUUCCUUCUUUCUGCAUUGAAUUGCAUUGCUUGUCUUGCACUCUUGCUCUUUGUAUGAUUGUUGGAUUUGGUUAGCUUUCGUGAGAUAUCAGUUGACGUGCAUAUGUUUGGUGUGAAAUUCUAUAAUUUGAGGUGUGCAGGUCUGGUGUGUGAGCUGUAAUUGAUAAUUCUUGCAGGAAAUAAUGCUCAAUAUCAGCCGAUAAUUAUUACCAAAACUCUUUGGAAUUAGUGAUCCUUUUAUAAACUUACCUGCAGAAGCCAACUCACUGGCAUUUGCAACGUAGUUAAAGCUAAUGCGUGCGUGGAGUUCUGUUUUAAGUUGAAUUUCAGUUGUCAUUACUUAAAUUGAAUGUUAUGAGGCUCUUGGUACGAAAAGAGUGUUGCUGUGCUUGAAAAUCUAAGAAGCCCAAAUUUUAAGUUUUUUGGCAUCAUACUGGAUUUAGAAUCUUCUUAAAGGGUGACGGGGGUUCUAUAAAACUACCAAGAACCUAAACAUGAAUAAACAGCUUCUAGUGACAUGGAUAAUCAUUUAUUUAUUGUUAUAAGAAACGUAUGCAAGUUUGAUUGAAUAUCAUACAUGACCAAAUAAACUUUGAGUUUACCUCUGUACAAAGGGCAAGUGUUUGUGAGUGGCUUGACUCAUUUGAAAUCCUGCAACACAUAUGUUAACUAUACCUCGCCCUUCCCCUGUUCCCUUUGAACCCACUUUUUUCUUUUCCUUCUUUUGGUUUUUGUGUCUCUGUGUGUGUGUUGUUGGGGGGGGGGGGGAUGAGGGCUGUGUGGCUCGUUUCUUUUGUCUGUAGACCCUAGCACAAUGUGUUGUCCAAAUUCUUGGUUACUUCUGUUGGAUUUGUUAAUCUGCCCUCAAGUAUAGUCUCUGGAGUUCCCUUUAUGUCAACGAAGAGAACCUUGAGUAAUCAUUGAGAAUAUGCAUCCUCAACCCUUUUAUUAUAUACUACAUCUAGUUUAGGAGUCUGAUUGGUCUUCUGCUGAGCAUCAAGGUUGAUGCUGACAGUUUUCAUGUGGAGCUCACUUUUAACCUGACCUCAUUUGUUAUGGUGCAGUAAUACACGAGCCCAACGGUCCAACUCCACAUUCACAGUUCGAACACUCAUCUAUUCCUGCUACUGUAAAGAAACUUUUCAACCUAAAAUCAAACUUCUUGACUAAAAGGGAUGCAUGGGCUGGAACUUUUGAAAAUGCCUUCAAGCUCCGUGAGACUCCACGUGAUGAUUGUCCAGGUUUGCUUGUUUUGUUCUAUAUUUUAAUUUAUACUUUUGGAUGAUCAUGAACUAUGCCUGAGAUUAUUGCAAUUAUUGGCUUAAGUUAGACAAUACUUGCCGUUGACAAAUCUGGGAGCAAAUGCAGGCACAUUAAUAGAUGUAUGAUUGGGUUUAAACUGGAGAAAUGCAGAGAGGUGAUUUGACAUGCAGAUGACGUAGUUUAUGUCAUGGGUUGCAUAGAUCGAUAGAUCCAUGCUCCCAAUUAAUUGGAACUUUGAAGUCAAACUCAAAUGGACCUUAUACCUGAUACCAUACCCUUCUCUCCAAAUGGCACGAACGCAAUCGUUGUCAGACCUGAAAGGAGUGACCUUGAGUCUUGAGGUUAUGGCUUCAGUAGUGUCUGUUCUAACCUCCUCUACAAUAUCCUUUCUGCCGCCCCUAGAACAAAACAGAUAAUGAAUAAUAGAGAGAGUGUCUGCAUUCUUGCUUGAUUUUAGAUAACAAUUGAAAAGGUGACAAGUCUUGUAGGAAUUUCAUUGUUCAACUGAAUUACUGGUUUGUUAGUGAAUAUGAUGAUGAUGACGUUAUGGCUUUAAAGGAUUGGAAAUAUCUAAUUUCUUGUGGAAAAUUUUGAUGGCUGUUCAGAGAAACUCCCAGAGGUAAUGCAGAGUUUGAGGCCACGGGGUCCAAGGGAAGAUGUUGAACUCUCUGAAUUUCAACUCGAGUUGAUCCAGCUUGCAUCACAGCUCAAUGGAGAUCAUGUACUGAACGCAUACCCGGAUAUUGGAAAAGGCAUGACCGUUGGUGAAGCAAAUAGGUACGCCGAGGAUGCAGUUGAGAGGUUCCUGGAAGCUGGAAGGGCUGCUCUGAGAGCUGGCGCAAAUGAAUCGGCCAUUGUCAUCAUGAAGCCGUCCCUCACCACCAGAACUGCCGCUGAAGACGCUCGUUACCUGGAAACUUUCUAAUUGGCCCUGUGCUGUCUAUGCAUAUUUAAAUUGAUGUAUCAUAUGUAUAUAUUAAGUAUUACAUUCGGAAUUCGUCACGCACGGCAAAUUCACCCUAUUAAGCAAAUCGCGCCGUUUAAUAUUGCAAUAUAUAGGAGACGUAUAGGAAUCUCAGGACUUGCAAUUGAACGAGUAGUGCAAAUAGUUGCUGAAACAAAUCAUUCCACUUUCAAUAAUCCUUCUUCUUAUCCAAAAAAUUCGUCAUAAUUUGUUGAAGGUGAGGGAGUUGGGUGGCUAUCAAAUUCUUUGGUAAGAAAAAUCCAAUCUCAUUCCUUAGAUUAGUUAACAUAUAGAGACACUAAUACGCUAACAGGUAGUUAUGAGAUAUCUAUCAUACAAGUCAACUUAGCCGAUCUCUUCCGUCUUGGAAGGUUUGAAAAGUCCAUUCACAAAAGUACGAUCACUAUGUAAUAGUACUUUCUUUUCUUGGCUGAGUUUCUCGUUAUCCAUACCAACCAAAAUCAUUGAAGCAAAAUACGUGAGACGUCAACAAUCAAUACAACCUAGUGGGGCCGCCAGCAUGGUUUUUUUUUAUCAAAUGAUUUACAUGGAAGCACGAGAAAAGAUGAAGGCAUGAAGCUUCAUCGUUCUGAAUCUUUAUGAAGAACAAAAGCUUUCUGUCAAAUAAACCAAUUUGGAGAAGGGAACCUUUCCUUUUGUAACCUUUCCUUUUUAUUUUAUGCAAGUCUUUCCUACCAAAAAAAUAAAUAAAUAAACCAAUUGGGUCAAAGUUGCAGUUAGAACAAUCAAUACAGGCAUGAAGCUCAAUUUUUAACACAAUUAGUACUUCUAAGAUCUGGGAUUGGAAAUUUAUAGGGAUCGAGAAUGAAAUACCUACUACUAGAUAAUAGUAGCUUGGGACUCGUCGAUGACCUGAAGGACUCUUGACCUUUUCUAAACUGAAGUCUAGAAAUUCGGCUUUUAUAAACCUAAUCCCAGAAGAAACCUCAAAAGCCGGCAACUCUUGAGGUCCUUCCAGGGACUUAUAAACCAAACCCAAACCCCCCCCAGAACCGAUGUGGGAUGGCAAACCCCACAAGGGCAAGCCAGUAAGGCCGCUGCUGCUAAGAAGUAAAGACCCCUCACGACACUCAGUAAACUACCCUUGCAUGAAUUUGCCUCUUGACCUUUUCUAAACUGAAGUCUAGAAAUUCGGCUUUUAUAAACCUAAUCCCAGAAGAAACCUCAAAAGCCGGCAACUCUUGAGGUCCUUCCAGGGACUUAUAAACCAAACCCAAACCCCCCCCCCCCAGAACCGAUGUGGGAUGGCAAACCCCACAAGGGCAAGAUGACCUGAAGGACUCAAGGUAUUGAAUUUGGAAGCUAAAGAACGAAACUGACACCAGUCCUGAAAUUAAAGGGUACUACCUACAGCACACGUCUUUUCCUCCGCUACCAUUCAACUGUAUUAUGGAUAUGACAUUCGCAAACUGCAUAAAUAGCUACCCUUCUUCAUUUCUUUGAACACCAACCAUCUCUCGCCCUAUCGCACACGCGCACACACACAACAGACGCACUGAGCGCAGAGCGAUGGAGGUGUCUUGGGAAGAGAGUGUUACAUACUCAAUAAACACCAUUUAUCUUCUCUUUUCAUCCUACUUGGUCUUCGUCAUGCAGCUUGGCUUUGCCAUGCUAUGCGCUGGUUCAGUCCGAGCCAAGAAUGCCAUGAACAUCAUGCUUACAAACGUGGUCGAUGCAGUUGUGGGCAGCAUUUCUUACUAUCUCUUCGGCUUUGCCUUCGCCUUCGGGGAUGGAUCCAAUUCAAACCCCUUCAUAGGCACUGAAUUCUUUGCCCUUAAAGGCAUUCCUUCGGGCUCUUACAGCUAUAGCUUCUUUCUUUACCAAUGGGCUUUUGCCAUAGCCGUGGCUGGGAUAACCAGUGGCUCCAUUGCCGAGAGAACUCAGUUCUCUGCUUACCUCAUUUUCUCUUUCUUCCUUACUGGCUUUGUUUACCCAAUCGUUGCUCGUUGGAUUUGGUCAUCCAGCGGCUGGCUCAGUCCCAGCUCCUCCGGUUCCUUGCUGUUUGGUUCUGGCGCCAUUGAUUUUGCCGGGAGCGGUGUUGUGCAUUUGGUAGGAGGAGUUGCUGGGCUUUGGGGUUCAUUGAUAGAGGGCCCGAGAGUGGGUCGGUUUGAUGCUUUUGGUAAGCCCGUGGCAAUGAGAGGCCACAAUUCAACUUUGGUGGUCCUGGGCACAUUCUUGUUGUGGUUUGGAUGGUUUGGGUUCAAUCCAGGUUCUUUUGAUAAAAUACUCGUGGCUUACCCAAAUACUUCUGAUCAGGGUAACUGGACCGGGGUCAGUCGGACUGCCGUUACGACCACGCUGGCUGGAUCCACUGCCGGAAUUGUCACCCUGUUCGGCCGGCGGAUACUGGUAGGCCACUGGGAUGCACUGGAUGUUUGCAAUGGAGUGCUUGGUGGCUUUGUUGCCAUUACAUCUGGCUGCUCUGUUGUCGAGCCAUGGGCUGCAAUAGUUUGCGGAUUCGUCGCAGCUUGGGUCUUGAUUGGACUUAAUAUUUUGUGUUUGAAACUUGGAUUUGAUGAUCCACUGGAGGCAACCCAACUCCAUGGAGGUUGUGGGGCUUGGGGGCUGAUUUUUACAGGUUUGUUUGCCAAAGAGGAAUUCAUUAUUCAAGCAUACAACUCAGGCGACAGCAGUGUCUCGCGACCUUAUGGACUGCUGCUGGGCGGUGGCUGGGGCCUGGUGGGAGCCCAAGUCAUUGAACUGCUAGUCAUUUUUGGCUGGGUUAGUAUCACAAUGGGGCCCAUGUUCUAUACGCUGCACAAGCUGAAAAUCUUAAGGAUAUCUGUGGAAGAGGAGGUUGCUGGUCUGGACAUCUCCAGCCAUGGAGGAUAUGCCUACAAUGCUCUCCAACAAGAAGGAAACAGGACCUCGAUUUUACGCUGAAUGCGGGCGGCUGCAAAAUGACGAAUAUAAAUUGUUCUUCUUCUUCUUCUUGUCUUGUGAGUCUUGGGUUAGUUGGAUGAUGAUCAAUUGUAUGAAUAUCAACGUUUCAAGAUUUUAUUGCUCCAAACCUUUUAAUGCUUUUCCAAGCGAUACCUUUUGUUGAUUUCAAAUCAAUUAAUUGUCUAUUGAUUCAAGUUUACGUAUACAAUAUAACUAAACUAUUCCUACACUGCACUAGAGGAAGGGGACCUAAAUAGGUCAAGGAAAAUCCUUCUAUGCUAGAAUUAUUCCUACUCUACGUUAGGGAGAGGGGGACCUAAAGAGAUUCAAAUGAUUCUAUCUAGAACUAUUUCUACUCUAUACUAAAGGGAGAAGUACCUAAAGAAGUCAAGAAAAAUCCGAUGAAUCACCACUAAUCCUUCUAUACUAGAACUACUACCACAUUACCUACACUAGGAGGAUGGAGGAUCUAAAGAGAUUCAGACGGUUCUAUACUAUAACUACUCCUAUUCUACACUAAGGGGAGGAGGACCUAAAGAGGUCAAAAAAAAAAUCCGAUGAAUCACGAUUGAUUUAGAUAAGUGACUAUGCACCCGCUAACAAAAUAUUUUCAGAUAAGUGACUAUGCACCCGCUAACAAAAUAUUUUCAGAAAAGUCUGGAUAUAAAAAUGUAGAUCAGGAAAGUCAAAAAAGUGAAUAUUCAAAUCCCUUGAUCUAAAUUCAUAUAAAGUUUGUGGACUGAGCUGGCAACGCAUGACGGGCAAAGGAAAAUGAAAGAAUGAGAAGAUUUUGUACGUGGCAGCAUGAUAUGACUAGCCCAAAUUAUUCUUGGCUUUUUCUAUUUUUAAUUUGAAGAGGGGACCGCCAUGCCAUAUGCACAUGAUCACACUUACUUUCACGCCCAAACAAGGAAAAAAAUAUAUAGAAGGGGUUGGUCAGAACCACUAUACUUGGUUGGUCUGAAUUUCCAGUGCGAGAGACGGGCAUGAGACACAAGAAAUCUAGAAGUUUUCAAGCACCCUGUGAAGUAUAGUCCAGGAAUACCUUAAAAAAGCAACGAAUCAAUUGUGAACAAGAAUAGAAAAACUGAAAUUGCCAAUACAAACUUUUAAUUUGACGAAAACCAAAAUUUGUUCCUAAAAUAGUAAGCUUUAACAAAAAGUCUGUCUCCAAACACAAAGAAGUGUUCUUGACUGAGGUACUUUUUUAGGUAAAUCCAAGUAUCCAACUAAACUCACGUCAUUGUGCUUUUAAUCAGGUGUAAAACAAUUGGGGGCAGAUUUUUCAAUAAAACACAAAUUUUCAAGAAAUAUCGAGAACAUAUACAAUACUAAUCUCUAAACUAUCUGAUCCUCCUAUGAUGCUCUUUUCAAUGGAUUCGUCCUUAAGUUAAGAAACCAGAAUGAAAUCUGCACAAAAAGUUCUGGAACUUCUUCCAGCACAAUUAGUUCGUCAAUCAUCAGCAUUUGCAUCUCACCCAACAGUUACUAUCGCAUCAUCAUAGCCUAAAGAAAACCAAUUUACAUCCUUCGUGCUUUUUACCGUUCCUCAAAAGAAAAUCAUUUUUCUUUCGGAAAUGAUAUACCACCAUAUCUCUUUCUAACCCUUACGGGUUAAAUAAGAAAAGGCCAGAAGCUAGUCAAAGCAAAAGCAGAAGGUCCGAAACUCUCUCCAAGGUAAAUGGAUUGAACUUUAUAGAACAACGAUUUGAUGUACAGAAAAUGAAACCGAGUCACCUAAUAGCGAAAUUGUGUUGGUUUAACAAUGAAUCUGGAAGAAGAAGGGGCAACUUUUCAAUGAACAUAAACAGCCUCUGCAAAUUCUCUUCCAGAAUCACAGAUAAAUCAACAAUUUCACUGCUAUCAGUGCAGAUCCAGAUGUCA
rnacentral:lncRNA from 1 species